CCAUAGAUACAAGCCUCUUGCUUGAGUUUGCUGCAGCAACUCUACUCUUCUUCAUCACCCGCUUCUUCAUUCGUUCUCUCCUUCCCAAACCUUCCCGGAAGCUCCCCCCUGGCCCCAGAGGGUGGCCGCUCCUCGGCGCUCUUCCUCUUCUAGGUAACAUGCCUCAUGUUGCAUUAGCAAAGAUGGCCAAAAGAUACGGGCCUGUCAUGUUCUUGAAAAUGGGCACUAACAGCAUGGUGGUGGCCUCAACUCCCGAGGCGGCUCGGGCUUUCCUUAAAACGCUAGACAUUAAUUUCUCUAACCGCCCGCCUAAUGCCGGUGCCACACUCUUGGCCUAUCAUGCCCAAGACAUGGUUUUUGCGGAUUAUGGGGCAAGGUGGAAGCUACUGAGAAAGCUAAGCAACUUACACAUGCUUGGUGGGAAAGCUCUUGAGGACUGGUCUCAGGUCCGAGCUGUUGAGCUAGGCCACAUGCUUCGAGCCAUGCUUGAGUUAAGCCAGCGAGCGGAGCCGGUGGUGGUGCCGGAGAUGUUAACUUUUUCCAUGGCCAACAUGAUAGGUCAAGUGAUUCUAAGCCGCCGGGUGUUUGAAACAAAAGGGUCGGAGUCAAAUGAGUUCAAGGACAUGGUGGUGGAGCUCAUGACCACUGCUGGGUACUUCAAUAUUGGCGACUUUAUUCCGUCCAUCGCAUGGCUGGACAUCCAAGGGAUCCAGCGCGGGAUGAAGCAUUUACAUAGGAAGUUCGACCGGUUAUUAACAAAGAUGAUGGAGGAGCACACGGCGUCAGCCCAUGAGCGAAAGGGAAACCCAGAUUUUCUGGACGUAAUCAUGGCAAACCAAGAAAAUUCUACAGGGGAGAAGCUCACUAUUACCAACAUUAAAGCACUCCUCCUGGUAUGCAUAGUUAAAGCUCGUCUUCAAUUUUGUUUUCCGAUAUUUUCUUUCCGGAAACAGCACUUUUAUUGCUUUUAGAUAUGUACGUUUUUAUCAGGUAGCCAUUUUAGGGGCACAUCACUAUUCUUUAUUUUUGGACUAUUUUUUUCUUUUUCCACUUGCAUGGUUGUUUUCAUAUGCUCAGCUGCAUGGCACAAGAAAAUUGUGAAAAAUGAUUGGUUCUCUGAUCAGACCUUCAGCACCAAAACACGCUUUUCUCUAUGUUAUAAAAUCGGUUUACAUGAUUUUUCAACCAGCUUCCUUGAACUUGAACUUUUGCUAGGGCUAAUGCAAAAAAUGAUUGAUCUCAAUUUUCAAUAGCGUUUGAUUACAUAAAUUUCAAGUAUGUGAACAUAUUUUUGUUUCCUUGGCUAGAAUUUAUUUACUGCAGGAACAGACACUUCAUCGAGCGUAAUCGAGUGGUCUCUGGCUGAGAUGUUGAAAAACCCGAGCAUCCUCAAGCGUGCUCACGAAGAAAUGGAUCAAGUGAUUGGAAGGAGCCGGCGGCUCGUGGAGUCUGACUUGCCAAAACUUCCAUACCUACAAGCCAUAUGCAAGGAAAGCUUCCGGAAGCACCCAUCCACACCACUGAACCUUCCUCGUGUCUCAACCCAGGCAUGUGAAGUGAACGGCUACUACAUCCCAAAGAACACUAGACUUAGUGUGAACAUAUGGGCAAUCGGGCGAGACCCUGAUGUCUGGGAAAGCCCGGAAGAAUUCAGGCCAGAAAGGUUUUUAAGUGGAAGAAAUGAAAAAAUUGAUCCUCGUGGAAAUGAUUUUGAGUUGAUCCCGUUUGGGGCUGGACGAAGGAUUUGCGCUGGCACUAGAAUGGGAAUAGUGCUGGUUGAGUACAUUUUAGGGACGUUGGUACAUUCAUUUGACUGGAAAAUGCCGGAUGGAGUUGAGAUCAACAUGGACGAAGCUUUCGGGCUUGCGCUGCAGAAGGCAGUUUCUCUUUCGGCCAUGGUGACACCAAGGCUUCACCAGAGUGCGUAUGCAGUCUGAGCUCAAACCGCUCAGACCAAAACCCAGGCCUCGCUGCUAUAUGGCAUGGAUGCAGUUAAGUAGAAAAUAUUUUGGGAUUUUUGCCUGUGGCUUAGUAUAAGAUGUAUUAGCUCAAAGAUGGUCGUUUCAUUCUACCACCAAGCCAUAUGCAUCUAUGCAUAAUCUAUUGAUUUAGGCUCGAUUUGGUUAUAGUUUUUGUUUUUUUGUCUUCCAAAUCAGUAAAUAGUAGGGGUAUUUUUGUCCUAUGUAGUGAUUCUUUUUGUUUGAUUGAUUAUAUUUGGAUCCUUCAAAAAUAUACGGUCAGAGCCAUCUCCAUCUUUUCACUUCUUGUGCUGCAGAAUGGGAUUGGCUUAGAUCGUUAGUCUAAUGUUAACCCCCUUCAAAUCUAAUUAUUCAUACUCAAUUUUGACACGAAAGAGCCAUUGUCAUGAAAGGGGGACCAGGGACCUCAGCACCCUUGGUUCAUCAUUUUGGUACGAUGCCAACUCUACCACAUAACCACCAUUUAGAUAUCUAUCCUUUUAUUUUUGGCAUGUGAACUUAUAGUGGGUGGCUGACCUUGAAUCCAAUAGUUAUCAUGAUAUAUAUGGCUGAAAUUAACCAUCAUUUAGAUAUCUAUCCUUUUAUUUUUGGCAUGCGAACUUAUAGUAAGUCCGAUUUAUGUCCAAGGGUCAAAUUUAAAUCUCUCUUCAAUCUAAUGGCUAAGAACUUCCCAACUUUAUUUAAUACUUAAUGUAUCCAAUAAUUGUAAUCGAGUAAUCCAAUGACAAGUACCUUCAAUGAUUAUUUUGGCAAAAGAAAUAAUAUAAGUUUGUUAUUUUAUGAUAUAAUAAAUUUAUUAAUACUUUCCUUUUUCAAAAUAUGUAAUUAGUUGUAAUUUCAUUAUAUAAUAUAUAAAUUAAGUUAUUUGCAAUUUUAAAAUAUGCUCAUUUUGUAUUUUUUUAAGUGUUAAUUAAAAAUUAUACAAUUUUGUUUUAUAAAAAGUAUUUAGUACUUUUAAUUUUAUAAAUUACAAGCAUUAAUUUAUACUAUUUUCUUAAAAUAUUUAGUUUAGUAUGCAUAUUAUUAGUUGUUUUCUUACAUCACUACUACAAAAAUAAUAUAUGAUGUCACUAUUUAUAGUGUCGCAUUUAAAAUAAUGACACCAUUGAACUUAAAAUUUAUAAAGGUGACACAUCAUUUAAAAAAUCUUCAAUUAGGAUAGUUAGAUUAUGCUAAUUUCAGAUUUACGGUGUCAUUUUUUGGAAGUGACACCAUAUGAAAUAAAAAGUUUUAAAUUUUAUAACUCAAUGGGCCUUUUUUAAAAAUAGUGAGUAGGAACAAUUUAUGAAAAGUCUAUUGUUUCCAUAUAUACAUUAACUAAUAUAAAAGAUCUUGUUGCUUGACCCUAACCAUCGUUUUCUUCUCCUUCUUCUCACACCCAUGGUCAGCACACCCAUAAUUGAUAUUCUUUGCUUCGUAAAAUCUCGGGUAAGUCAAAAUCUCUUAUCUAUCAUCUUUAUUUUUUUUAUUAAUGCAAAAAACUUUGUUAGUAUAAUUGUUUUAUAUCUCUUGAUUUAGUAUAUCUAUGAUGUGGGUUUUGUAAAUGGUGUUUUUUAUCGAGUUCUAAGGAAGUAAAAACUAAGUUUAACAUUCUAACAUAUUUUUUGUUUCAUUGCUAAUAAGCCCCAAAACAAAUGAAAACAAGAAAAAUGAAUUAUUUUUAAAAAAUUUGUCUAAUUGAGAAUGAGAGAUACACUAGUUUGUAGUAAUUUUUCGCAUGAAAUAGUAUUUUAUUGAAGACUUGACUAUAUUUGAUACUUUUUUCCACCGUGCUAGGAGCUUUUUGGUGAAGUCUAACAAUAGAGAUUGAUAUCUGCUACAAGAUGAUACUCAAUUAAACCAAAAGCACUUAAGUUAUUUAGGGUUUUCUUCGGUUAACCUAAGAAAACAUUCCCACUUUCUUUGUAUUGAGUCAUCUAAAUAGAAUAGAAUAUUGGGUAUCAGAGUCGUAAAUGGUAUUAUAAAUAUGACUUUUUUUUUAGAGUCACCUACAUGGAAUGAAUUAUUGGUAGGUGAACAAAAUAUUGGGGUGAUUGUAAUAGUUGAAUUAGUAAAUGGAAGAUAAGUGUAUGUUGCUUUGUUUAUUCUAUAAAAACAAUAAUUUUAGUAGUUGAAAUUUACAUGCUUUGUUGUUUUAUAAAAACAAUAAUUUUAGUAUUUGAAAUUUUAAAAUGUGAAUGAAAUGCCUGAAAAUAUAUUUUGAAAAAUAGGAUAGUAAUAAAUGGAAAAUAACUCAUUUCCUAAAAAUAUUUUGAUAAAUUAAAAUAAUAUGUGGUUAAAAUAUAUUUUUGUGAAAGUAUUUAAAAAUGAAUCAAAAUAUAAAUAAUUGUUAUUUUUUUUUAAAAUAAUUUAGGAAUAUAAAAUAAUAUUGGGGAUAAUUUUUGAGUUUAAAUUGUGUUAUAAAUGGUUAAUUUUUUUAGGACUGUCCUUUUUGAAAAUAAUCCAAUGAUAAUUUUUUUAAAUAAGAAUGUUGAAACUAAUUUUAAAAAUAAAAUUUUGUUGGCAAUGAUUUUUCUAAAAGUAUUUUAGGCAUAAAUGGAAAUUUCUUGUAUGAAAAUAAGAGAAUUUAUAUAUAUAUAAUAGACAUAAAAAUAGAUUUCUUUGAUAUUUAAUAAACAAGUGAAUUUUUCUCUAAAAAAAGAAUAAAAUAAGAAUUUCUCUAUAUAAUAAAAUAAUUUAUAUAUGAGAUAGUUUUCAAUAAGAAAGUUUUGAAAAUAAAUUUGGGAUAAAAUAUUUUUUAGUAAGUUUUGUUUAGAUAAUUCAAGAAUAAAGUGGUUUAUUAACUUUUCUUAAAAAAUAACAUUCUUCUUUCUUUUUUGAAUUGAUCAAUAGUUUGGAAAUAAAAUUGUUAGAUUCUAUUUUUUGUAAAUGUUUAAGAUAUUCUAAAAAAUUCUUUAAAAAUGAAAUGACCUUUCUACCACAUUCCUUUAAUAAAUAAUUGUAUUUUUAUACAUAUUGUAAAGUAAAAAAAAAAGUCUUUAUUUAGUUAACCUAAGAAGACAUUCCUACUUUUCUUUGUGUUGAGAGUCACCUAAAUGGAAUAAAAUAUUCAAUAUCAUAGGAGAGUAAAAAGUAUUGUAGAAAUGAUUUUGUUGAGAGAGUUAUCUAAAUGGAAUGAGAUAUUGGUAGGUGAAUAAAAUAUUAUGGUGAUUGUAAUAGUUGACUUAGUGAGUGGAGGAGAAGUGUAUGCUUCUUUGUUUAUUCUAUAAAAACAAUAAUUUUAGUAGUUGAAAACGUGUAUGAAAUGACUGAAAAUAUUUUUUGAAAAAUAAGAAAAUAAUAAAUGGAUAAUAGCUCAUUUCCUAAAAAUCUUUUGAUAAAUUAAAAUAACUUGUAGUUAAAAUAUAUUCUUAUGAAAGUAUUUAAAAAUAAACCAAUAUAUUAAUAAUUGUUAUUUUGUUUAAAAAUAAUUUAAUAGUAAAAAAAUAAUACUGAGUUCAAAUAUGACUACUUUGUUAUGAGAUUCAUUAAAGAAAUAAUUGUUGAUUUUACAGUUAUUGCAUCAAAGGUUUUACUCGUUUAAUGAAUUGUACAUAAUUUCAUACUUUCAAUUAUUAUGAUAUUAAUGUUAUUCUCAUUUGAUUUCAGUUUGAUUACAAAUAAAACAUAUUCUCAAGUAGAAUUUGAUGAAAUUAGAGAAAAAUAGAUUACUUUUGUGUUAUAACUAAUCAUGAAUCAUAUUGAUGUAUCGUGAUCAUUCAUGGUAAGUCCCUUAGUUGUUAUAUGAUUGAAUUUUCCAUUGAUAUUGUAUAACAUUACUUAUUCUUUACGAACUAUUUUUAUACCAAAAUGAGAAAAAGGAAAAAGAAAAAGAAAACAUUAGUACUUAGAUUUGUUUAUUGUUUAUAACAUCACAUUUUUAUUUUCAAUAAGAACUCUAAAACUCAUUAAUCUAUGAAAUGCAGGUAUACACUCUUGGGAGGACAAUAUGAAGAAUAAAAAGAAAGGAGAAAGAGACAACAAGAUUUAGGUUGUUAGAUAUGACUCUUAUGUCAUACAUUAUAGGACAUAAAUGUUACUUUAUUUGGAAUUGAGAAUUUUGGGUUUUUGGAUGCAACUCUUGUGUCAUUUUAUGGUUAGCCGGUUUUAUACAUAUGAAAUGCAAGUAUACAUGAAUGUUGGGAAACUUAACAUUUCUAAAUCAUGUUUUAAUGUGUAUUCACUUUUCUUUUUUAGUUUUGGUGGGUUUGAUGUGUUUGAUGUACUAUCAUUUUGUGAACAUUUGAUAUACAAAUAUUAUUGGAUGAUGUAAUAUGUUACAAAUUAAUUCAUAAGCAUUAUGAAAAUAUAAGUUAAAUGUAAUAUGAUUAUUAUAUUUAUGGACAAUUUACACAGGUUAGUCUUAUUUAUUAAUAAGCAUUACAAAAAUCUACAAACUAAUCAACAAAAAACAACCAUAUCUUCCAUAAUCAUUUACAAUGAUGUGACACCAUAAAUUAAAGGUGAUACAUUUAACGUGACACCAUAACUCAAAGAUGAUGCAUUUAAUAUGACACCUUAUAUAUCUCAUACAACUCUAUAUCAAAUUAAGCAUCACUAAAAAUAUAUGGUGUCUCUUCUGAAUGUGUCACCAUUUAUCUGCUUUGGUGUCGCUUCCAAAUACGUCACCAAUUGAUACCCUCUAUGGUGUCAGUGGAUAAGGUGACGCUAUGUUGUAGUGACACCCUAUGUUUAUAGUGACUUAUUAUAAAUGUCACCAUAUAUCUUUUUCCUUGUAGUGCAUCUCAAGUUUCAAUCAAAAAAAUAUUUAUGAUUUGUUUUUAUUAAUUUGUGUCUUGUUUUCAAUUUAAUUAAUGAAAAUUUAUUUGAUCAAAAAGUUCAUUACAAACCAAUUUUAAAAAUCUAAUCCUUUAUUAUAUUUUGAUAUCGUUUUGAUAAAAAUGUCUUUAUUAUUAUUAUUAUUUUUUUUUUUAUAAAAAUAAAUUUUUUUAUAAAUAUAUUGUAAAUAUUUAAAAUAAUUAAAAAUAUUUAGAUCAAAAAUCGAUUAUUUUUCAAACAAAUAUAUGAAAGUGAUAAAUUUGCAAAUAUGGGGAAUAUUUAAUCCUUUUAAUCGAUUAUUUCAUUAAUGAAGUGGGUAUAAUGAUGAACGCAUACUUGGUUUUACUAGGGCAUGCAGAGGUUUUGCAAGAGAGAGAGAUCAUUUCUCGACUCUGAGAAAUCAAUCUCCUUUUGGCCCGGUGGCGGACUCCAAGUAAAGCCUUGAAGGAGCCUUGCUAACAUCCCUGCACACCCACGCCUUCCAGUACUGAAGGAAAUGAAGCGAAGGUUUGGCUCGUUCAACUCCACUGCUUGAACUGUACUAGCAUUCAGAUGCCGCUCUGGAUUGAAAUUUAGCGGUUCUUCCCAGAUUCUAGGGUUCCGGCCCAGCCCCAGACGGCUCAGAAGGACAUGACUGCCUUUGGGGAUAGAGUACCCAGCAACACUAGUCGGAUUCCUGAACUCGUCUAUCCUUUCCAACCACUCCAUCAAUUUCUUCACUGCUUUGCUCAAAAUCCCUGGUUGCUUGAUCAUUGCCUACUCAAUUGCAUUUGAUGGACUAUCGACGCCUGCAAGCAUCAACUCCUGCAAAUUAUGGAAGGAUCAUAAUCUGAUGAUUGAUCAAGUUAUUUGCUGGCUAGGAAAUGAUCAUCAUGCAAUGUAGAUCAAAAGGUAAGCACAACACUACUACAAAAAUAAUUUAUGGUGUCAUUUUUAAAAUAAUGACACCAUAGGGUUUAUAAUUAAUAAAGGUGAUACAUCAUAUGAAAAUUCUUCAAUUAAGGUAGUUAGAUUAUGUUAGUUUUAUAUUUAUAGUGUUAUUUUUUGGGAAGUAACAUCAUAUAAAAUAAAUUUUUUUUUAAGUAUUAUAACUUAAUGAGCCCACUUUUAUAAUUAAUAAUGAGGGAUAAUGUAUAAAAAGCCCAUUGUUUCCACAUGCCACCCAUAAUCCAAAAAAUCUCAGUAUACAAACCUUAUAUAUAAAACCAUAAUCUUCUUCUACCUUUUCUCUUACCUAUAGUCAAUACACUUACAACCGACAUUUUCUACUUUGUGGACUCCUGGGUAAUCCAAAUUCUCUUAGAUCUAUCAUAUUUUUUUUUCUUUUAUUAAUAUAAUUAUAUUGAUUGUUUCACCAUCUUUGUAUUAUGGUUUUUGUAAACUGCGUUUUCUUGAGUUGUAGGGAAGAAAAACUUAGGUUUAAACUUCUAGCAUAGACGAAGAAACUUGUAGAUUAAUUGAUUUUUUAAUAUGAACCAAACACAUGACUGACUUCUUAAAAACAAGAAAAAAUGAAUGAUUUUUAAUAUGUAUUUAUGUGAGAAUGACAGGUACAAAAUUUUGUUGAGAUAUACUGUCACAUAAUCUUCAUCCCUUCCCUAAAACAAGAGAGAGAGAGAGAAAAAAAAAAAGGAAUGAUUUUUUUUGUGUGUAUCUAAGUGGGAAUGAGAUAUAUAGAAUUUUGUUGAGAUGCCACAUGAUCUUUAUCCUCCAUUAAACCCAACAUAUUAAAUCCACUAACUCUCCCCAAAAACGAGUAAAAAAAAAGGGAAAAAAGUAUGAGUUAAAAAACAAAAACGGAAAAUAUGAUUUAUUUUUUUUUAAUGUGUUUCUAAGGAAAAUGAGAGACACAAAUUUUUGUUAAGAUGCAUUGCCACGUGUUCUUCAUCCUCUCCAUUAAGCCUAAUAUAUUAAACCUAAUAGCUCUCUCUUUUAACUUUCCAGUGAAGUGCCUACAGUAUCCAACUCAAAAUAAGACAACUUAAGCCCCAUUAGCCAACAACCCAUAUUUUGUGUACAUCUUGAUGAGAUUAUUUUGUGAGAAAAUGUCAUGAAACAAUCCCAAUUUGAUAAUCUAGGCAUGUAUUUGAGUUAAAAAUAAAUUUCUAUUCUAUAGAUCAAAUAAUAAAAUCAUGUUUGAAAAUUAUUUUUAAAAACUUAUUUAGAGCAAAAAUAGUUUUCUAACAUAAAAAUAAUUUUUUAACUGAGAAAAUAUAUUUGAAAUUAUUUGAUAGAAAAUUGGGCAUGUAUUUGACUUAAAAACAAAUUUCUAUUCUAUAGCUCAAAUAAUAAAAUCAUGUUUGAAAAUUAUUCUUAAAAGCUUAUUUAGAGCAAAAAUGGUUUUCUAACAUUAAAAUAAUUUUUUAAUUUAGAAAAUAUAUUUGGAAACAUUUGAUAGAAAACUAGGCAUGUAUUUGACUUAAAAAUAAAUUAUUAUUCUAUAGAUCAAAGGAUAAAAUCAUGUUUGAAAAAUAUUCUUAAAAACUUAUUUAGAGUAAAAACAGUUUUCUAACAUAAAAAUAAAUUUUUAACUUAGAAAAUAUAUUUGAAAACAUUUGAUAGAAAACUUUUUUUUUAAUGUCAAUAAGUUGUCUUUUUGUUAAUUUAAUUGUAAUCAAUUUGCUUAUACGCAUUUAAAAGUAUAUAUUAUCAUAUUUAGUAAUAUUUUGAUUGUUAGGCAAAUUAUCAUUUUUGAGAGGAAUUUUUGUAGCUCUCAUAAUUAUAAUUGUAUUUUAAUAACCAUUUCCAAUAAAAAAGAAAAAGAAAAAAGAAGUUAGACAAUUAUCAAAAUCUGAUUUUUAGGAUUUUAAAAAAAUCUACAAGCCAAAACUAUCUAUAAUUUUGAUCAUGUGAGAACACUUCUUUUUUAAUACUUUGAAUUAUUUUGUUUUUUUUUUUCUUAGUAUCUGAAAGUAUAAAAGAAUUUCUCUUAUUAUAUUAUUAUAUUAUAUAUGUGCAUGUGUGUUCUCAUGGUUUCUUUAUGUCAUGUCUUAUUAAAGAAUAAAGUGAUGAAAUUUCCUUUGAGUAGAAGGUUUUAGUCCACGCUAGUGAGUGGACACGGUAUGAAUAGUUUGGGUGGGUUGUAUCUAUGGUAAAAAAUAAUAAAAGAUACCUUUUGCAAGUCUCCAAGUUGGUUGAGAUACAUGGCAUCAUGUUGACUAAACCUUGACUUUUGCAAGUCUCCUAGUUUCCAACUUUUUUUUUUCUUUUUUUUUUAAUAUUAAGGUGUGGGGCCAUGAACUCCUUUCUUUCCUUUUUAAAUAACAAAAAGGAAGAUAAUUUUAUUGUGAGAAGGCUAUUUCUAUCAAUUGUGUUCACGUCGAGAAUUUUUUAAUUUAUGGAGGCCAAAUAUAUAUUUAUGUCUAAUUUAGGAGGGUAAUUUGGGUUUGUUUAAUCUAUUCCAUUUAAUCAUACUAUACAAUCAUUUUUUUAUUUGGAUUAUUUUUGUAUUAAAUUUCUUCAACCCAAAUUUUGUUGAAAAAUUACAAUGUAUUAUUAAAAAUAUGACUUGAUAGUUGAUUAUGGACAUGUGUCAUUUUUAGUAAAAAAAAAAAUCUAUAACAUUUUAUAUUGAUAAUAUAUUAUUCUUGUAACAGGUUCGAAUAGUAAGCAAGUCAUUAUCAAAGAAGUUAUUGAAAGUAUAAGUGUACGUUUAUUUAUUGCAUGCUCUUAUAUUGUAUCAAUUGUAAGGAAGAUAAAAUUACCUUGUAAAGGUAAUUAAAUCUUUCUAUAUUUUAAAAACUUUUUUCCUAUAUACUAUGCUUUUGAAGCUUGUUUAAUUAAACAUAUUAGUUAUUUGACAAACUUUUCACAAAUGUUUUGUAUACUUAUGUGUUCUAUUUUGUUCCAUAGUUUUAUCGCAUAAUACUAAUGUAUAUUUUUUCACAAACUUUUUACAACUAUUUUGUGUACUAAUGCAUAUUAAGUUUUGUUCUUGCCUAUAUAAGCUACAUUUAGUUAUUUAAAUAUAUCCAAUAUUAUGUUGAAGAAAGAUGUACUUAACUUUUUUUAUUCUAAAUAUUAACAAGUUUUAUAGUUCUCUUGUCUUGAGAUUGAAUGUCAAAAGAUAGAAGGUCAGUUGAGUAUGAUGAAAGAGUUGAAAACUUUAUCAAUUUUGCAUUAGCACAUUCAAUCAACCAUUCCCCUAUAAAAUGCCCAUGCUUACGUUGUGCAAAUCUAUUAUGUCAAACUCUUCAAGUCAUUACAGAGCAUUUGUUCUUUAAUGGAAUAGAUCUCAGUUAUCGAGUAUGGUAUUGGCAUGGAGAAAAUGGACCCAGUGGAGGAUUUUCAAAUGUCUCACAACAACAUUAUGACAAAUGCAAGUAUAAUGAUGUUGUUGACACAAUAGAUAUGGUUAAUGCUGCACAAGUUAAUUGUGUGAAUGAUCCCUAAGUGUUUGGAAGGUUACUUGAAGACGCAAAAAAACCUUUAUAUCUUGGAUGCAUGAAAUACACAAAGUUGUCAGCAUUGGUAAAACUUUACGACUUAAAAGCACGUUAUGGUUGGUCUGACAAAGGAUUCUCAAAAUUGCGUCAGUUGCUUGGAGAUAUGUUGCCAUUGAAUAAUGAGAUGUCAUUGUCCAUGUAUGAAGCUAAAAAGACUUUCAGUGCACUUGGGAUGAAUAUCAAAAAAUUCAUGCAUGUUCUAAUGAUUGUAUUUGGUAUAGAAACCAGUAUAAGGAUGCUAUUGCAUGCCUAACUUGUGGAAAGUCAAGGUGGAAGAUAAACAAUGAGGGGAAAAAGAUUAAGAAGGGGCUUCCUUCAAAGGUUUUGUGGUAUUUCCCACCAAUCCCUAGAUUCAAAAGGAUGUUCCAAUCCUCAAAAAUCGUUAAACAUCUUAUGUGGCAUGCCAAGGAUAAAGAAUAUGACGGUAAACUAUGCCACCCAUCAGACUCCUCAGCGUGGAAACUAGUUGACCAUAUGUGGCUUGAUUUUGCUUCUGAACCGAGAACCUUAGACUAGCACUCUCAACAGAUGGUACAAAUCUUCAUAAGUCUAUAAGCAAUAGACAUAGUUGUUGGCCUGUUAUACUGAUCAUAUACAACCUUCCUCCUUGGUUGUGCAUGAAAAAGAAGUUUAUGAUGCUAUCAUUAUUGAUCUCAGGACCACGACAACCUGGUAAAAAUAUAGAUGUUUACUUGAGUCCAUUGGUAGAUGACCUUAAAACUUUGUGGGAAAAAAAAGUUGAGACUUAUGAUGCACACUUGCUUGAGGUUUUUACUUUAAAGGUCAUCAUUUUAUGGACAAUCAAUUAUUUCCCUACAUAUGGAAACUUGGCCAAUUGCACCGUGAAAGGAUAUUAUGCAUGUCCAAUAUGUGGAGAAGGAACAUAUUCCCAAAGAUUAAAGUAUGGUAGGAAGAACUUGUAUAUGGGUCACCGACGAUUUCUUCCACGUAACCAUCCCUAUUGGAGACAAAAGAAGGCAUUCAAUGGUGAACAAGAUUUUAGAAUUCCUCCUAAAAUUUUGAGUGGAGAAGAAAUACUUGAAAAAGUUGAUCUCAUUCCUAUUUCUUGGGGAAAAAUGAAGAUAAAAUCUCUUGAACUGAUGUGAACACAAAUUAUUGGAAAAAAAAGUCCAUAUUUUUUGAGUUAGAAUAUUGGAAAUAUCUUCAUAUCCUUCACAACUUAGAUGUCAUGCACAUCGAAAAGAAUGUCUGUGAGAGUAUUAUUGGUACUUUGUUUAACAUCCCAGGAAAACAAAAAGAUGGACUUAAUGCUCAACUUGACCUAGUUGAAAUGGGUUUAAGGUCUGAACUUUUCCCAAGAGUUGACUUGAAGCGGACCUAUCUUCCCCCUGCAUGUUAUUCACUAUCCAAACAUAUAUGACAAAAAAUUAGUUUGUCAAACAUUGUCUAAUUUGAAGGUCCCUGAGGGGUAUUGCUCAAAUUUUAGAAAUCUUGUCUCCUUAAAGGAAUUGAAGUUAUUUGGUUUAAGAUCCCAUGACUACCAUGCACUUAUGCAACAACUAUUGCUAGUGGCAUUACGUUUUGUUUUGCUAAAGCAUGUGAGAUAUACUAUAUCAAGAUUGUGUAUCUUCUUCAAUCAAUUAUGUACAAAAAUGGUUGAUGUGCCAAAAUUGGAUGAAGUACACAAUGAGUUAGUGGUCACGCUGUGCUUACUUGAAAAGUAUUUUUCACCUUCAUUUUUUGAUAUUAUGCUUCAUCUAGUAGUGCAUUUGAUAAGGGAGGUGUGACUAUGUGGUUCAGUUUACUUUAGGUGGAUCUACCCAUUUGGGAGGUAUAUGAAAGUUCUUAAAGAAUUGUUCGCAAUCAUAAUUGGCUUGAAGGAUGCAUUACUAAGUGCUAUUUAACAGAAAAAGCUAUUGAAUUUUGUACUGAAUAUUUAUUAGGGACUCAUGCAAUUGGAAUUCCAAAAGCAACAAUUAUGACAACAAAUUUGGUAGACCUAUAAUUGGUGGUCGUUCUACCAUCAUUGAUCAUAAAUUGUGGUUACAAGCACAUCAUUAUCUAUUAGAGAAUACAACUAUCGUCCAACCAUACACUGAGUAAGAAAAACAUACCUUUAUCUUUUUAUAAUUUCAUAACAUAAUGAUGAAAUCCUAAGUUUGCAUUCCUUGUCUUUAACGUCAUAAGGAACACAUGAAUUGGUUGAGGUCUCAAUACCCUCGACAAUCUAAUAGACAAAUUUGGUUGCAAGAAGAACAUAUGAGUUGUUUUACAUAUUGGCUUAAAGAAAAGGUAAUCUCUUAGUUUUUAGAAAAUUUUUCAAUAUGUUGAAAACAUCACAAGUUUCCAAUAUGUUUUGAUUAUACAUAGGUUGAAGAGGCUAUCCAUAAUGGGCAAGAUAUUCCCGACACACUUAGGUGGUUAGCACAUGGCCCUACUCUCCAGGUAGUCAAAUAUCCUGGAUAUAUCAUUAAUGAGUGUUGUUACCAUAUUAAGAAACGCGAUAUGACAUGCAUCACCCAAAAUAGUGGUGUUUUUAGCAAGACUAUGCAAAUUGCUAGUUCUAAGGAUAAGAACCUAGUUUGUGGUGAACUUUGCUUUUAUGGGGUCAUUAAUGAGAUAUGAAAUCUUGAUUACAACAUGUUCACAAUUCUAAUUUGCAAGUGUGAUUAGGUUGACAACAAGAAUGGUAUAAAAGUUGAUGAACUCAGGUUCACAUUAGUUGACUUCUCCAAAAUAGGUCACAAAUUGGAUCCAUUUAUUUUAGCAUCACAAGCCAAGCAAAUCUUCUAUGUUGAAGAUCAACUUGAUCCUAAAUGGUCAAUAGUUCUCUCAAUUCCUCCAAAAGAUUUCAAGAACAUAGAAGGACUAGAUGACUUCACCGAUAAUUGCAUGGAACAUCACCCCUUUAUAAGUUCAAUGCCAGAAUUUGAAUCAUUUGAUGCUAUGGAUGAAUCAUAGGCAAUACACAUGAGAGAAAACUGUGAGGGCAUAUGGAUUGAAAAGAAUUAAAUAACAUAUUGUACCCUUGAAUGAGAUAUAAUAAGGCAUUUCACUUAUUAGUUUUCAUGAGUUGCACAUUAACUUAGCUUCUAUAUAUUGCUCAUGAUAUAUCUAUAUAUAUUAAUCAUCCUAAAUUUCUUUCAUGCAUCAUAAACAUAUGUUAUUCAAAGGUACCACUUCAAUCUUCAUUCAACUAUCUUUUUGUUGUCCAUAGAACUAGAUUUAUAUUAUUUUUUAUUAUCAUGUUUUGAUUUUAUGCUCACAUAACUUGAAACUCUCAUUCCUAAAUUUCUUUUUCAUUAAAACUAUAAAUCAUAAUUGAAACUAUGCACUAAUUUAUUUUAUUAUUAUCCUCACAAAUAAAUUCUUCAUUAUUGAUAAGAAAUCAAAAAACAAGACAAACUUUGAAAGAAAAUUUCAAAAAAUAUAUUUGUGAAUGACCAAUUUAAUUAUAGAAAAUAUAUGCAAGGCUAUACUAAUCUUGCUUUUGAGUCAUUUUACAGGUUUGUUGGUGAAGUACUAGUUUGCACAUUUACUUGAUAUCUUCCACACAAAUAUGGAUCUAGAAGAAGGGGAAAUGCCAAAAAUAAAGCAUAGAUGUAGUGCAUUGAAACCAAAGAUUGCAAAAAAUCAAAGUAAAGGGAUAAAACUCAAGAUUGAAUACAAUAGCCUUGGUAGUCCCAUUAAGGAAAAUUCAGUUAAACUAAGUAGUUAUCUUAGUACAAUAACUAGAACCCAUGUGCUAAUAAUUAUUGAGAGUUGGAGGAAAGUCCCUAAAGAGACUAAGGAGAAGUUGUGGGAUUUGAUCACAGUAAGCCUAUCUAUAGCUUUAAUAUAUAAUUAUUGUAUACAUUCAUUAACAUGAGCUAAUAUGGGUUGUUAUUUUGUAGACAAGCUUUAAUGUGAAUAAAAAAUCCAAGAGGAAUUGUUUCAUACUAAUGGGCAUCAGGUUUCGAACCUUUAAGUACAAGUUGACAAAGAAAUAUAUAUUGUCUUUCAAGAAUGACCAAAAAAGCUGAAAAAGUCACCUCCUAUUUACCCAUUCAUACAAGAGGAUCAUUGGAGACAGUUUGUUAAAGAUAGACUUUUUGAACAUUUUAAUGUUAAGCAUUAUUUUUAUUACAUCUUCAAUUUUCACAUUUACGUAGUUUCAUUAUGUACUAAUUUUGUGUCUAUAUUUUGUAGGAAUAUCGCAAAGUUUAGAAAUCAAGAAGAGAUAAACACAUUUACAAUCAUUAUCUUGGAAGAAAAUGAUAUGCACGUUUUGAGCAAGAUAUAGUAAGUUAUCAAUAUCCAUAAAAAAAAUGGAGUAUAUAUUUUGUUUAUAGGAAAAUGAUUCUAGUUUUUAAAUAUCAUUUAUUAACUUGAUCAUGUUGAACUAAUGAGUUUUAUUGUUAAAAUUUUUAUAGCUACAAGCAGAAGGGGCUAUUGGUAGGGUUGAUAGAAGUGUUUAUGAAAGAAAACACGUGAGAAGAAAGGAAAGUUUAAUAAGAUUACAAAGCUAAUGAUUAACUAAGUUAGCAUAUUUAUGCCUUUUAGAGCCUAUAGUGUUAGUAUGUCUAUGUGAUUAUGGUUUGGGAUGAUAUCGUUAGGUGUUAAUAGGGAAGAGGCUUAAUGCUAUCAUUUUUAUGAGUAGUCAUGUUAUAUUAGUGCAAAUAUAGUAGCCUAAUUUGAAAAUUAAUUUUGAAACAAUAUACAUUAAUUUAUCUAUUAUCAUUUUUAUUAAAACAAUUCAUUUUCUAGCUACCUUGAAUUGGUCCUCUUGAAUUGGUUGUCUUUGAUUGAUAUGUUAAUCAUCUUCAUCAAAUUAUUACUAAUAUAUGUUUUGUUGUAGGAUGAAUUACUAGAAAAGGCAAGGAGACUGGACUACCUCCACUUGGUCCAAAUGACAUAUUAUGUCAGGCAUUGGGUAAGCUUGAUCAUCUAGGACGUGUGGUAGGUCAAGACCGCUUGGUUAGGUCGAACUCAUACUUUCAUCAACCAUUUGAUGACAUGAAAAAAAAAAUCAAAGAAGAAAUAUGGGAAAUGGUGUGAAAGGGGAUGCAAGAUGCUGUAACAAGACAAACUAUGUCUCCUCCCACACCCCAUUCUGAUAUAGGUAGUAAUAACAUGAGACAACAACUUGUUUUACAACUAGUUGUAGCAAAAAAACCAAUGUUUAAAAUGAUGGAAGAGCCCCAACCACCAGAACCACCACUGAAACGUAAGGUAUACAUUUACUUACUAAUAAUACAAGAUUAAUAUAAGUGAUAUAUAGCCUAUGUAAAUGAUAUUAUUUGUUGUAUUAAAGGUGAUUAAAUAUAAAUUAGCAGUGGAAUGAAAAUGAAAUGUUGUUGCAACUGGUACAUUAAUAGAAGAAAAUUGAUCAAAUGGGUUGGUCGUAAUAAAUGUUGCACACAAGCUAGAUGCUAGACUUCCAUUUCCAAAUCCAUAUGAGAUUAUCAAUGUUGGGGAUGCUAUUGGCUUUAAGCUUGACUGGCCAACAAGCCUUGUCAUACUUGAAACUAAACAUCCUCGGGUAUGUCAUUUUAUACUUGUAGUAAAUUUGAUUGUAACUUGGUAUUUUAUUGUUUAGGAGUAUAUAUUACUAACAUUCCUUCAUUUUUCAUAGGUGUUGGAUAAAGGAAAGAAGUAGAUAGUGAAUGCACCAAUUAUUCGAAAAUCUAAGCCUCAAAAUUAUUCGGUCAUUAAAAAUUUUCAGAAAUUUAUGGAUGGUUGUCUUAGUAAUGAGAAGACAUACCCAAUACAGCUCCCCAUUUCACUAUUUGGUGUCGAAUUCCGAACAUAUAUAUCUAGAGAGGAUUGUGAAUACAUUAUUUCAUCUUCAGAGGUGUUAUCAAAAUGCAUCUCCUUCCAUUUAUGGUGUGCACCUUUUAUUUUCAUUUGUUUUUAUUUUUUUAAUAUGAGUUGCCCCUGUUGAACAAGAUUGGAUAUGACUAAUGAUAAUUUUCUUUUGGUGUUUUGAUAAUAUAAUAGGUACAUGCAUGAUCAACUACAUAUUGCCAAAAAGGAAUCACAAUUUAUAUUUGUUAAUCCUUUUACAAUAUCAUGAGCAGGCUUUAGUAAUCCUCAAAUAGAGAAAAGAACACAAUUGUUGUCAAAACACUUAAUAGAGUGCCAAGAUGUCAGAUAUGUUUUCAUGCCCUACAACCCCGAGUAAGUGACGAAUAUUAUACUUUAAUUUGAGGUUUUAUGAUUGAUUUAUAUUUCUAAUUAGAUGCUACUUUUGUUUUUAAUGUUUUAGCUUUCAUUGGGUCUUGGUAGUGAUUGAGCCAAGGAAAAUGAUAGUCCACUAUCUUGACCCUGUGCAUCACAAACCAUGUGAGGACUUAAAGGAUAUCGUAAACAUGUAAGUUCUUCCUAUUAUUUUUCAUAGUAUUAUUUAAAAAAAAAAAUUACAUUCACCUCAAACACAUUUUUUAUUGUUAUUUCUAUAUAUUAAAACAUAUAACAUUUACCUAUUUUAAAAUUGUACCCAUUGAACUUAUUUACAUAGGGCUCUUUAAAUAUUUGCAAAGAAAACAUCUAAGAGAGAGCCAUCUUGGCAACUAGUGCAAGUGACAUCCAAAAAUUUUCUUUAAACAUUUAGCUUAUGCAUUUGCACCAUUUAUAUAUAUGAGUACUAAUGUUAUUUAUAACUGAUCCAUUAGUGUCCAAGACAAGAAGGAGGGUUCGAAUGUGGCUACUUUGUUAUAAAAUUCAUUAAAGAGAUAAUUUUUUAUCCUACAAUGAUUGCUUCAAAGGUAUUACUUAUUUAAUGAAUUGUACAUAUUUUUAGGCUUCCAAAUGUUAUGCAUUUUAAUGUUAUUUUCUUAUUUGAUUUUAGUUUGGUGAUAAAAAAACAUAUUCUCAAGUAGAAUUCAAUGAAAUUAAAGGAGAAUUGACUACUUUUGUGCUACAACUAAUCAUGAAUCAUGUUGAUGCAUCAUGAUCACCAUGCAUGGUGAGUCCCUUAGCUACUACAUGAAUUUUUCCAUAGAUAUUGUAUAGUAUUGCUUUUCUUUGAACAAUGUUUUUAUUUGAAAAAAAGAAAAAAAAAGUUCUUAGAUUUGUUCAUUUAUGAUAACAUCGAUCCAUAUUUAUUUUCUUCAAUGAAAUCUAUAAAACUCAUUAAACUAUGAAAUGCAGGUAUACACUCUUAGGAGGGUGGAAUAGAGAAUAAAAAGAACAAAGAAGGCAACAAGAUUUUGGGUUUUUAAAUACAGCUUGUAUGUCAUACGUUGAAGGACAUAAACGUUACUUUAAUUGGUAGUGAGAAUUUUAGAUUUUUAGAUGCUACUUUUAUGUCAUUUUCUUGUAGUGCAAAUUACUUAUCUUACUAUGCAUUGGGCUUUGAUAUUAGCCAAAGAUAGUAGUGGCUCCUAAUUUUUAUCCUUAACUGAAAUGAAAACAUCAAGCAGGUCCCCAGCCUCUUUUUCGCCAUUCUUCCACUAUUCUACUAUUUGGUCCAUGAUUGGAUCAUGGUACUUGUUAAUGGUGUUCAUAGCCUCCCUUAUAGUUUUUUCAUGGCCAUCUAAAUUCAGCACUCUCUGCCAUGGGAAGUAAUCAGAUAAAGAGAAUACAUAUAGAUGAGCAAGUAUAGUAAAGAAGGAUUCAACAUGUUGCUCCACUUCAACUCCAGGGCCUCCAUCUUUCUUUCGUUGGCCAAAGUAUCUUGUGUUGAGGAUCAUCUUUCAGAUGACAUUCCCGUUGUAUUGACGGACUUUAUUUCUGUCACACCCCAAAUACUAGGCAACCCAGAACUUGACUCGUGACCCUAGGUCAAAUGUUUGACCCUAAGAGUUACUCUUAUCCAUGUUGGCAAUCAAUCAAAACACCCUGGAUUUUUUUUCUUUUCAAUAAAGCGUUUAAUCCUAAAUAAAUUUAUUAAGCUAAGAUUUACUAUAACAUAUCAUUUUAUUUUUCCAAAACUAACCAUCACAUUAUCUCCUGUUCACAAGUAUUAAAAAAAAAAAAAAUUCCACCAAUCAUCUUCUUACCCAAAAUCUCAAAUAUUUACUAUAAUCUCUAAGUCAAAAAGAAUAUUUCCAAAAAUGUUUUACAAACUAAUAAAAUAUAAUUUAACUUAAAAAAGUCCAUAUAACUCAAAUUAGUAGAUGUCAAAAAGGUAAUUAAAAAAAAACAACCAUUAUUAUGGUUUUUUUGCUUUUUAGAACACUUCAUGAUCUUCUUAUGGUCCCUUAGAAACUAUAUCUGCAUCUAAAAAUUUUAGAAAAUAAAGGGAUGCACAUUUCCACGUUACUCUUUAGACCUAAAUGGGUUAGAAAUUCUAAGUCAAUAAAACACAACCAUAUGCCAAAAUAUAAUAUUACAUUUACAUUAUACACACUAAAAGAAACCUCAACCAUACAAAUUUAAAUCAAUCAAAAUUAUCAUUUUCCUUAUUUAAUCAUAUGUUUAGCAUAUCAAUAAUUUUAAAUUUACAAAAUAAAUAAGUCACUUUAGUCUUGAAUAAUAUAUUCAAACAUAUACUUGAUAAAUAAUACAAAUCAUUUUUCCAAAUGCAACCAUGAUACAAAUGCUUACACACAAUCACGCAAUGCAAUAUCGUUCUCGAGCUUUCACCGAAGGAUAUGCAUUUAUACCCAAAUACACUCCCCAUUCGGAGUCUUCCUGGGAUAAAAUUUUGAGUCUUUCACCCUAAGGAUCUCACUCCCUUCUUAACUCACCAUCUCUAGGGUCAUUCAAUUUCUUAUUUUUCUUUUCUUUUCAUUUUUGCCAUUUUUGGGGUCUUUUCAUUCUCAUUUCCAUUUCACACAACCAUUUCUUCAAUUUUUAUUUUUCUUCACACAAUCAUGAUGCAUAUGAAAUGCAACUGAAUCAUAUUUUAACAUCCAUAAUUUUCCAAGACAUAAUUUUAUUUACUCCCAUUAUGUUUCAUAAUUUCCAAUAAUCCACACAACGAUUUUUCUUCACUUUAAUCGUCACAAACAUAAAAGAAAAUUCACAAUUAAUUUGUAUAGCAUCAAAACAUAGUUUUAAACAUUGACCACAUAAAUUCUAUUUAUUCCCGACAUGCUUAAUAAUUUCCAAAUCCAAUAUAACCAUUUUUUUUUCAAUUAAAUAAUCACACAUAUCCAAGAAAAUUCUCGCUAAUACAAAUAUCAACAAAAAUGUAAUUUAUGUCAUAAUUUAUUUGUCUCCAAUAAUUUCAAAAAUUUUGACACCCAUAUGACAAAUUUCCACAAUUAAGCCACCCCAAUAUUUGGGAAAAAUUUUCCAAUAAUUCAAAUAUCAACAAAAACCCAAUUUAUAUCAUCAUUUUAUUUAUUUUUAAAAGCAUUAAUAAUUUUAAUAAUCAAUACAACACUUUUCCACAAUUAAGCCACCACAAAAUUUUGGGAAAAUUUUCCAAUAAUUCAAAUAUUAACAAAACACAAUUAUACCUUAAUUUUUCUUAUCUCUGACAACAUCAAUAAUUCUUAGUACUCAAUACAACUAUUUUUAUUUUUUCAUAUUUAAUCUUCUCAAACAUUACCAAAAUUCCAAGAAAAAUUUAUAAAUCACGAAAUAAAAUUAUUCACAAUAAUAAUCACACUUCAAAUACUACAAAUAACAUCUAUUAUAUUUCAACAACACAAUAUAUAAUUUUUUUUGAAAGAAAAUAUUAAAUCAAAGUUUUAGGGUUAAAUCACCCUACCUUAAAUUUGAAAAAUUUAACCAUUAAAACUAAAACGGGACACCGUAGGAGUGUUCCUCGCAUUGAAUAGAAUAUCCUUCCAAAAUUUUAUGUGAAAUGGACGUCAUUUGGUAGGUCCACCAGCAUCCUAAAGCUGGCGACCCAUUUUUCCCACUCUUUGCCGACGACUUCCCUACAUCUCUUACUCGAUUUCCUUUCUUCAUUUUCUUUUCUUCUUCUUCUUUUCUUCUUCUUCUUUUAAACUCCCACGCCAAUUUCACUUUAUAUAUAUAUAUAUAUAUAUAUAUAUAUAUAUAUAUGUAUGUAUGUAUGUAUUAUUAAAACAAAUCCUAAAAUACCACGCACAUCCAUUUCUCAAUAAAUUAAAACCAUUAUUCUUAAAUUCACCUUCCGUAAUUAUGAAUUAUACCAAACUUAUGAUUUUCCAUUUCACGAAAAAUACCACCGUAUUCGUAAUUUAAUUUACUACAAGUCUACUCUUCAAAAAGUAUAAUUUGAUUAUAAUUACAUGAAACAUUGUUUUUUUACUCUAAAAUUCAUUUAAAACAUGAUAUAAUUAACUAUUAACAAAAUUCAAUUCCAUAAAAUAUUAAAAACAUAAAAUAAUUUUUUGGCAAUCAAGAAGUUGAAAUUUGUAAUAACCCUAAACCCGUUAAUUUUACCUAUAUUUAUUUACCAAAAAAAAUUUAAAUAAUAUUCUAAAAUUUAAUUCCAUAAAUUAAUUAGUCAUUCAAUUUAUAAAAAUCAAAUUCUCUACCCUUUGGUAUAACUUUUAUUUAAUUUACUUCAUUUUUCAAAUUAUUCAAUCGCAUCAAAAUUUCAAAAGUUAAAUUCACUAAAUUCACAUUUAAUUAAUUUAUCAUUUUGUAUUUUUUUUUUUUCUAAAUUCGCAUAUCAUAAUUUAAUCUUAAUUUAAUUUUGAUUCAAUUUUGUUUUAGGUUUUCUAAUUUUAUGAGGUUUAAUUUCAAUUAUAAAAAUUAAAUUCAAUUUCUUUUUAAUUAUCCAUUAUCACAAUUUGAUAUAAUAUAAUUUUUUAUCAAGUUUUUCUUACUACGAUUUUUCUUAUAAUUAUCCAAUAAUAAUUAAAUUAAUUCUCGUAACAUAUUUAAUAUUCAAAUUUUAAAAACUUAAUCUCAAUUAUUUGAUGGUUAUUUUUUUUUUCUCAAAAUCUAAAUUUAAUUUAUGAAAUUCUCACUUCUUACAUCUGACGUGGCAAAAUUUUCAAACUAUUGACUUUUGACCAACUUUUCCUAAAUUUAUCCUAAUUAAAUACUAACACAUGGAUUUUCACCACUCUUUUUGAUCUUUUGACCCACAAAUUUAUGAAAGACUUUAUACUUGGAGAAUCUACAAAAACCUGGGUAUUACAAUUUCUCAGGUUGAUAACUGUCGUGGUUACGAAGCCACCACUUGAAUACUCAAUCGCCAUUGUAAUGGGCCUAGAUGCAAAUAGUACAUCAUGUUUCUUCAAAAGUUCUCUGCUAAUCUCUGGGAAAGUCGUAGGGACAAGAUGAAAUAUUUCCCAAUUGAAUACAUGCAAUUUCAGUGUUCAUUUCUUUCAUAAAGCCAAUGUAUCCACCAGAAAGUUGGCUUUUUGUUGAGUAAAUGAGGUAGAUAUUGCACUAGUGGCCAUGGAGCUAAUCCUGGAGGAAGUUGUAUCGGCUUGCUUUUGGUACUUGUUUUGGAUUUUAAUUUAGUGAAGAUGAGAAAGAUUGAUGUGAUGAAAAGCAGUAAGAGGAAGUUGAAAUGAGACAACACAUCGUCUGUGGUAGUAGAAGAAAACAAGGUUGAGUUACUGCUACUACUCUCUGCAACAAAGCCAUUUACACGUCUUUUAUGGCAAAACCAUGUUUGUCCUAUCUUGGGUCUGGAUGCACAUUUUUAAUAUUGGGGAAAUCAUGCAACCAAAUGUCACACACAAAGAGAGAGAAAAAAAUACGUUUUUUAGAACUUGAAAAGGUAAAGUGGGACAAAAAAUAUUAUCCAUUCUUGAACUCUAAAAGUAAAGUUAUAAAAAGCUUAGUUUUUUUUUUUUUGUUAUGUAUGAUUGCAUGAUUUCCCCCUUUUAAGAUUUUAUCUCAUAAAAUUUUUUUCUAGAAGGUUCAAAUAAGUUUGAUGAAUAUUGUUUAUUUUAGUAAUUUUAAUUUUAUGGGGUACUUAAAACAUUAGAAGUUCACAAAAAGCAACAUUUAUCAGCUACCUAUCUAAAAAGCUUGGCCUAAUCAUUGAAAUCCAAAAUAUAAAGUGACAACACACUUUUUAAAGCAAUUUUCAAAAUAGUUUUUAAAAACACAUUUAUUUAUGAUAUUUUUAAAAUAAAAAUCUCAAAAAUAACUUGUUUAUAUUACUUUUUAUUAGACAAAUACUUGAUCUUUAUAAGAUCACCCUAAUUAUAGAUUUAUGAACAUGUAACACAGCAAUUAUCUAUAUAUAUACUUAGAAUUAUUAUAUUUUAAGUUUUUAACUACAUAGGACAUCAUGAGUUUUUCCACCAUUUAUCUUAUAAUAAGUUUAUUUAAAUAUGAUAAAGGAUAUAUUAUCUCAUUUCUUAUUAUAUCUGAUGCUAUAUAUAUAUAUAUAUAUAUAUAUAUAUGUAACAAAUCAAAUACAAUUUAAAGAUUUUAAUUAACCAUCUAUUAGCAACAAAGCAAUCUCUUAAUCUCAUUCAUAAUAUUAGGAUAAUUUAGUAUUUCCUUUUAUAAAACACUAGCAUAUAAAUCAGCACAAAUCAUAUUAAGGGUGUAUUUGGUGUUGAUUUUAGAAAGCGUUUUUAGUAUUUCUAAUACUUGAAAGAUAAAAAUUUUCAAGUUUUAGAAAGAUCAAAAGCGCUUUUUAGAAUGACUAUCAAAUACAUGCUAAAUAUUACUUUUGGAUACUUAUAUUUUUAAAUAACUCUUAAAACUUUUAAGGCAAGUCUCUACUAUUCAUAUAAACCCCCUAUUAUUUUUAAUUCUUAGAAACAAAAAAUAAAGAAUAAAAACUCCAUUUAAACAUCACCUUAUUAUUUCCUAUUAUAAAAUAACACAAAUCAAAUGAAUUAUUUAAAAAUAAAUAAAUAUAAAAUCAAAGUUGAAGAGAAAAAACUCUUGUGCAUUAAAAAAACAUCAAAAUAAAUAAAUAAAUAAAUAAAUAAAACAUCAUCAAAUAAAUGUAAAAAUAAAUUAAUGUUAUGGAAAAAUGAGAAUAGGCAACAAGAAAAUAAGAACACAGAUUUACAUGAAAAAUGCUAGAUGGGAAAAACCAUGGAUAGAGGAGAAGAAAAUCCACUAUAUUAAAAAUUUGGUAUAAAAUGUGACAGAAUCAAGUGAGUAUUGUAUAGGCAUAAUCACUAUGACCCUAAAUCCUAUACAUCAUCGCAUAUGUAUGGUGUAUGCGAUAAUAUUUGUGAUAAUAAAAAUAUUGUCGCAUAAAAUAACUAUGGGAUGUAAUAUUUGUAAUAAUAUUCUUUACAAAAAAAAUAUUUUUUCUUUGCUUUAUUCACUUUGAUCACAACUUGAAAUAAGACAAUAAAAAUAUUUUCUUAAUUUUUGAAAAUUAAUUGAGGACUUAGAGCUACUUGUUACUGAGUGAAUUUGCUGAAUGGUGAAGAAUGUGUGUAUAGUAGUUUUGCAAUUUUUCAAACUUGUAGACAUAUUUUGUGAAGUCUUUUUCUCUUUGUAAAGCCCCAUUUUCUUUGUGUAGUUAUUUUUUCAAUAUUCUCUUUGGAAGGAAUUUACCAUUAGUUAUAUAGGUAAGAUUAAGGAAUUAAAUUUGGAAUUCUUAAGAUUUGAUUGCUUAAUUCAAAGAAUUUGGUUCAAGGGAAAUUUGCCAACAAAAUAAUAUUUAUUUUUAAUUCUAUGAUGACUUUAAUUAUUUGAUAUAAUUUUAUUUUGAAAGACUUGAUGUGGGGGACUCAUCACUUAUUGAGUCCAAAUUUUGUUGCACCCAAAUUUUUAUGAGCUAAGAAACCAUAAUUUUAAAGACCAAUUCAGUGGUAAGUGAAUCUGCUAAAAUCUUCUAUGUACAAAUGACCUCACUUCAAGGUGCAACACAUACAUGUAUUAUUAUGUGUAUGGGAUGAGUCUUGAAGUUAGUCUUCAUUCUUCUUUGAUUUUUUUUUCUUCAAAUAAAUAAAUAAAACAUCAUCAAAUAAAUGUAAAAAUAAAAUAUGUAUCGGUUAAUUGGAGAGGAGAGCUUUAAGGGCAUUUCUUCUAUGAAAUUCUAUGCUCCACGUACCAUAAAUUUGUACUCAACCAACAAAAUUACAGAAUGGGUCCAUGCACAAACAAAAAUAACUCAAAUGUAAAUAUCUAAAAAUGUAUAAAGUUCACAAUAGAUAUUCAAGCCCAAAUUUAAAUUUCAAAUUAGUCCAAUAGAUUUCAUCAAUCAAAAUGGGUCCAAAUUAGCAAAUAUAACCCAACAAAAAUAUCUCAUAUGUCAUAGGCCCUAAUUUAAAAUUUUCAAAUUAAUAGCCAAAAUAUAAGUUCAAUUAAUCAAACCCAAAACAUGAUAAAUUAAAAUAAAUCUCAUUAGGCCUAUACUUAAUAUCCCAUAAUUCAAGCCUAAUUUAAUAUAUAAACCUAAAUCCACAAUCAAAAUCAACCCAAUUUAUGCUAAUCCCGAUUUACAAUCAAAAUCAAACAUAAUUUAAUAAGUAAAUAACUAAAUAAAUUAAGCAAACUCAAAACACCCAAACCACUACAACAUAAAUCAAACAAUAAUAAAUAUAAUGACAAUAAUAAUAAUAAUAAUAAUAAUAAUAAUAAUAAUAAAAUAAAAUAAAAUAAAAUAAAAAAAUUUAACUCAUGUCGGAGCCAGUUUGAAUGUCUUGGGAAAGAAAGAAAAUGAGAGAAAAGUGAGAGAUGAUUGACAACUGACAGUGGCUCACUGGCGACGACUGGCUAGUGGUCCUACCGAUGGUAGUGAGGAUUGAUUGGUUUUUGGGAAAAAAAAUAAAAUGAAGAAAAGAAAAUGAGGUGUAAUAAAAAAAUGGAGAAUUGAGAGGAAGGUGGGAGAAGAAUGGAGAGAGAGAACAUAGAAAAUGAGUGAAAAGAAAUGAGGCUAGUUGGAGGAGGAAGUGGUAGUGUGUGAGCUAAAGUGAAGAAGAAUAGAAGAAGAAAAUGGAGAAGAAUGGGGAAAAAAAAUCCGCCUCCUUAAAUGAAGAGAGGUGGGUAGCCUAAAGAAGAAGAAAAAAUAAAAUAAAAUAAAAUGGGGAGAAAAUGAGAGGGGGUCGGUGGUCUUGUGAAUGAGGUGGUAUGCGUUAGAGAGAGAGAGUGGGUGGGGUUGUUGGGGAAGGUAUGAGAGAGAGAGGAGAGAGAAAAGAAAAAAAAGAAAGAAAAGAAAAAAGAUAAUAUAAAAUAAUAAUAAUAAUAAAAUAAAAUAAUAUACAAAAUAAUAAAAACUAAUAAUUAAAUAGUGAGUGGGCAAAAAAUAUCAUAUGUAAUCGGGAUUUAAUUUUAAGAGUAAAAUUGGGUUAAAAAUUAAUGUAAAAUAAAAUUAGGACAAAUUUUGGGGUAUACAAAUAUGCGCCUCUUCGGUAGAGUCCACGAGUAAAGCAAGUGUAUAUGUGAGCAAAACAAAGUGGGCUCUACUGAAAAACAAGACAAACCACCAAAUUUGUCUUAAUAUGACAUGAACUCUCCCAAAAAAAAAAAAAAAAAAAAAAUCUAAAACCCUACAAAAAUGGCCAAAACGGAAACUCCUAAGGUGCCUUUAAAGUUAUACUAUGGAUCUAGACUCCCUUAGAAAAGCCUCCAAAAAUGGCCCAAAAAUCGGUGUCAAAAUCGAGUAGCAAUCAGACCACUAAGGAGCACAUGAACGAAUGCAUACAAAGGGAAAAAAACCAUACGUGUACCAUACGAUGACAAAAGGCAUAAGGUAUCCAACAAUAUGACUGAUUCACGUGUUACGAGCUCAAAGAACUUUGUCAUGCACCAUGGAGGAAGGGAAACUCUAGAAUAAUGUGAUGAGGAAGUUAUUAGCACAAUGUAAUAGAGUGAGGAAAAAAGUGAUGAGUGCAAAGCUGUGAGGACAAGGUGCACAAUGCUAAUGAAUAUGAAAUGAAUAGCACUAGGCUAUAAUGCAAUGAAUAGCUCAGGGUUGUACCAUAAUGAACAAGUCAAGGAUGUGUAAAGAUGAGGAACAACUCAAGGUUGUAAUGCAAUGAACAACUUAGGGUUGUGAAUGCAAUGAACAGCUCAGCGCAAUGAAUGAAAUGAAUAGCUCAGGGCUGUGAAUGCAAUGAACAACUCGAGGUUGUGGAUGUAAUGAACAACUCAUGGUCAUGGAUGCAAUGAACAGCUCAGGGCUGUAGAUGAACAACUCAGGGUUGUGGAUGUCAUGAACAACUCAAGAAUAGGGGCACUGUACACCCAAAAUGGGAGAUCACGGUCUACGAUUCCAAGUCAAACCACUAAAGGGUGACCAAAAUGAGGGUGAUCAACUCACUAAAAAAGAUGAUCAAAAUGUCUUAAGGGAGAGGAGAUGCCCCAGAUGAAACUUAAAGGAAGUGAGUAGUGCUAAUGAAACUAAAAAAAGAAAAAAUGUCACAACUGAAAUUGAAAAAAUAGCAAACUUAGAUUAAAGUGCAAUGAACAACUUUGGGUUGUGGAUGCGAUGAACAGUACCUUGUUGUAAUGAAAUGAAUAACUCUAAGAUAUGGGCAUUGUACGCCUAAAGAGGGAGAUCGUGGUUUACGACUCCAAGUCAAACCACUAAAGGACGACUAAAAUAAGAUGAUCAACUUACGAUAAAUGAGAAUGCAACUAUCUCGAGAAAAAGGGUAUGCCCCAAAUGACACUCAAUAGUAAAAGAAUGACACAAAUGAAACUAAAACAAGAGGAUGCCACAAAUGAAACUGAAAUGAUAACAGACUCAGUACUAAUGUGUAAUGAACAACUUUGGACUAUGGAUGCAAUGAAUAGCACUGGGUUGUAAUGAAAUGAACAACUCUAAGAUGUGGGCACUAUACGCCUAAGAAAUGAGAUCAUAGUUUACGACUCUAAGUCAAACCGCUAAAGGGCGACUAGAAUAGGAUAAUCAACUCACUAAAAAUGAGGAUGCAACUAUCUCGAGAAAGGGGGUAUGCCCUAAAUGACACUCAACAGUAUAAGAAUGACAUAAAUGAAACUAAAAUAAGAGGAUGCCACAAAUAAAACUAAAAUGAUAACAAACUCAAAACUAAUGUGCAAUGAAUAACUCUAGGUUGUGGAUGCAAUGAACAACACUGGGCUGUAAUGAAAUGAACAACUCUAAGAUGUGGGCACUAUACGCCUAAAGAGGGAAAUCACGGUCUACGACUCCAAGUCAAACCACUAAAGGGCGACUAGAAUAGGAUGAUCAACUCACUAAAAAUGAGAAUGCAACUAUCUCGAGAAAAGAGGGAUGCCCUAAAUGACACUCAAUAGUUAAAGGAUGACACAAAUGAAACUAAAACGAAAUGAUACUACAAAUGAAACUGAAAUGAUAACAAACUGAUAACUAAAGUGCAAUGAACAACUCUAGGCCGUGGAUGCAAUGGACAGCUCAAGAAUAGGGGAACUAUUCGCCCAAAAUGGGAGAUCGUGGUCUGCGACUCUAAGUCAAACCACUAAAGGGUGGCUAAAAUCAAAAUGAUCAAUUCACUAAAAAUGAGGAUCUGAACAUCUCAAGAAAGGGGUUAUGCCCCAAAUGAAACUGACAAUAGAGGGAUGCCCUAAACAGACUGAAAAAAGGAGGAUGCCUUAAACAAACUAACGAAAAAUGGAUGCCCUAAACAAAUUGACGGAAGUGAAAUGCCCUAAAUAAACUGACCAAAGAAGAAUGCACUAAACAAACUCCAAGAAAAAAAAAGAAGAAGUAUGCGAUAUAGAAUCAAAAACACCUAAAACAAAAACAAGAAACAAAGAAUGUGGUUUACAACUAGAAACACCCAAAAGAACCUUAAAGAAGUGACUGGGAUAAUGAACUUAAUGAAAAUGGGGUAUGCCACAGUAAAAGACUCGGAAGUAUCAGCAAAUGGAUCAAACGACCAUGAAAUCAAUAGGAGAUAUGAUGAACCCAAAAAGGGCGUAUGCCCCAACAAAAGAACACUAAAAGGGGGGUAUGCCUUGAUAUGACGACUCACAAUAAUUAAGAAAUGGAUCGAGUAAUGAGAAAAUCUGCAAAAUAUCUUAUGAACUCAAAGAUGGGGGUAUGCCCCAGUGUAAAAUAGUGACCAACAUAAGACACAGAAUGUCACCAUACAAUACACUCUGGGAUAUGCUCAAUGACAAUGUAAUGAAAACAAUAGCCUCAAUCAACAAAUGUUCAAGCAAGACCAUGCAUCACAUAAACUAAAAUAAUAGGCUAAACAAAUGCUAACCAAGUCUCUCAAUCUGAAAUGUAAGCAAGUCAAGACAUGACAUGUCAACCAUCGACAUGAAAACAUCAUCACAAAUACAUCAACAAACUAAUAGUCCCUACUAUCAUGGAAGAUGUAGAACCUAACGUCCAAAGGCAUGUGAAAACUCAACCAAAAAGCUCAAGACUAGUUUGCAUCCUCCUCUAAUAAAAAGAAUGAGAUAAGGUCAUGUAGGAUGAUGAAAUAGGCAAGCUCAAUAUUCGUUAGGCUCUACCAAGAUGGAUGUAGGUAUAAUAGUGUCAAAGGUAGGAUGUCUAGAUGUCCAACGAAGGAAACUGGGUAUCCAAGUCAAACCAAGUAUGUUGAGGAAACUGAAGCCAUAGGACAAUAACUUUAUGAUCCAUUGAAAAUAGCAAUCAUGAAUAGAAGGUCGAGUCUCGAUGUCAAAAUCAACAAGGUGGCAUUGCCCCAGUAUGAAUACAUCUUCUCAAAAUGGGUAAACCCUCAGUGCAAGAUAAUCUCUAGAUAGUAUGUGUCUAGUAUAAACUGUCAUCUCACAAAAUCUAUCACUGAUGAGUGGGCUAUACCCCAGUGUAAGCAUUUCCAAAUCAAACAUCGAUGAGAGGAGUACAACCAAUCAUACAUAAUAUGAUCAAAACAAAUCUCCACUCCUCAAAGUCAUCAUGGUAACGUGAAGAGAGUAUCUAACCUCAUUUAAAGAAAGAUCAUGUCCCAAUGUGAAAAAUAUCAAGCAAAGUGGUAUGUCUCAACAAAAAUGCACUCUAACAUGAUCAUGCCUAGAUGUAAGCUGGUAUCUUUAAGAUCAAUCACCAAUGAAAGGGUUAUGCCCCAGUAUAGGGCAAUCUCUGAAAUGACUAAAAUCCGCUACAAGCUCUCACAAGUGUCUAUGUCAUGAACCAAUCAUCUCAAAAAAUAAAUAAAUAAAUAAAUAAAUCUAUCAACAAUGAUGAGAAGGUUAUGCUAUAAUCACAUCAAGAAAAUCACUCGGUCAUAUCUUGUACUCCAAUGUGAAAGGAAAAUAUGAUCACCUCUAAAGAAUGGCUAUGCCCCAAAAUACAUCAUCGAUUGAGAAAUAUGCCCCUACGUAAAGUACAUCAACUGAAAUAUGCCAAUCAUGCCUCAUGUUCCAAUGUGAAAAAUGACAUAUAAUAUUCUUUGAGGGAUGGUCAUGACUCAAAAUCCAUCAUCAGUUGAGAGAAGUAUGCCCCGACAUAAUGGUCAUCUAAAAAAUCAAUCUCCGACUAAGAAAUGUGUGCCUUGAUGUGAUGUAUCAAGCAAACUGGCUGCAUACCCCAUAAAAAACUCUCUAAGGUGGCUAUGCUCCAAUGUUGGAUCAUACCACAACUCCUGGUCUAUCACAAUCAAAAUGCUCUCCAACCAAUCCCAAGUAUCGCCCACAUGAGAGCUAUCAAACACAAUGUGUGAUGUCAUGGCCUCAAGGUGGUCUUAAGAUUCAGGACGUAACGUAGGCUAGGGUAAUAAGGUGAAGAAAUGAAGGAAAACUAGGCUUAAUAAUCCUAAUGAUAAAACCCCAUACCCUUAUGUAUAAAAUGCAAUAUGUGCAAAGAGUCUUAUAAACCAUGGAUCUAAGGACACCCAAUAUGAAUAUAUCAGUGAGGAAGAAAGAAUCUAAGAUGAAUAUAUCAAUGAUAAAAGAGAAGAAAUGAAGAAUAUCAAACUGCUGAUGGGAUGUAUAAGAAUGAUGUGUGGAAAAUAUUGAACAUGGAAUGUAAAUUGAUAUGAACAAAGAACAAUGUAGGCAAGGCAAAUGCGAUAUCAUGAUAAGAACAAAUAAAUCGAAGAAAAAUGAAUGAACACUAAUCCACUCAAAUCAAGUCAUGGAGAAUAGUCAAAUCACCAACGUAUGUAAUGAUGGAGAAGACAAUGAUUCGAAGUCCCUAGGAAAAUGUCACUUGUUUGUCACACAUAAAAUACAUAACGAGAUAGACACAAAAAUAUGAGAGUUUUUUGAAAGUUCACAUACGAACUUUCAUAAGCAACUAACUCAAUAAAGCAACCUCAAUGACCAAUAUAUACACUCAAUAAAGGAUGACACUGUAUACAUGUGUUUAUUACUUUUUCUUUUUCAUUUUUUUCAUUUUUGUUUUUAUUUUUUUUCUUUUGCUCGCGCAUACUCUGAAUAUCAAUAAAUGAACUUCUCUGAGAAUACAUAAUGAAAUGGAUAUACUCUCAAACAAUGAUGUAAGCGAACUCUCUCUGACAAGAUGACCCUCUAAAUUAAGGAUUUUCAAACUAACGUCCAUGAGAUAGGAGUGGAAGGGGAUAUGACCAUCCUCCCUGCACCGAAAUGUGAAAAAUCAUCACUCAGGGCACAAAAAAAUGUGAUGAAAAAAAAUAAAAAAUGAAACAAAAGAUAUAAACAAUGAAGUAUGAUGAAGACUGAUGUUGGGAAGACAAAAAAAUAGUGAAGAAUGUGAGCCAAUAAGUCCACAACUCAUGAAACUCUCGAAUAAAAUAUAUAUAUACACCAAAAGACCCUUAUCCCGGUGUAAAAUGUGAGCAAGGAUAUAAGAAAGAAAAGACUAUGGUGCUCAUGUGAGGUUCAAAGGGCUAGCAACGGUCCAAAUGUCAAUAAAGGUAAUAGGGUGUGAGCUAACCAAAAUGAAGGCCACCUAUGAUGGUCUGAAACAUCAUGCUCUUAAGCUUUCAAUGAUCAAUACUGAAAAUCGAUGUCCAUUUGAUAUAAACACGUCAACCCUUUGGAAUUGUGCGCCAAACCAUACUCCAAAUGCUCCAUAAUAAUCUCAAAGAUAAUCCUCUCAAAGCAAAGUAAAUAGCGAUCUCAUAAGGCACAACUACUCAUCACAAGCCAACUCUCAUCAUGCAAGAUCAAUCUCUAUUUUCAUGGAAAAAUAAGUGACAAUCUCAUCAGGUAAUCGACGAAUCCUCACAUCAUAAACCAACCAAAGAUCAUAAGUCAUUCAUUGCCAUGCAAGAUCAAUCCCAGACUCAAACUCCUCAUACUCUACCUGGUUGGAUUAGAGAAGAAAUGGGCAAAACUAGAAAAACUGAAGAUGGAAAGGUCAUAUAAUGGUGUCAAGGGUGAUGUUGUGCAAAACUCACAAUGGAUGGAUGUAGGUCAAAGCAAAGUCAAUGUGUGAGAGUGAGUAAGGCACUACUCUGAUCAUAAGAAGAUGGGUCACAAUCUCAAACUCCUAAGGUCAAAUCUCCGAUCCUAGGCUAAUAAGCUCAACAUCCUCCAUGAUAGGUCAACCCCCAAGAUCACAAUGUGCAAAUGAAUAGAUGCCUCAAGUCAAAAGUACAACACAUCAUAUGAUAUAUGGUCCUACGAUGACAAUCUAAAACUGGAAAUAUGUUAGAAACUCUAAGGUCAUAAACGUGUCCACUGUGAGAUGACUAUAAAUGUGACUAAGGAAUCUUUAUCAAUAAUCCAAAAAAUGAAUGAAGUGUGAAAAACAACACUAUCAUGAGAUCGAUACCCCAUCAAUAACAAAAUAUCUCUAAUUCACUUUCAAUCUAAACUCUAUAAAGAAAAACGAUAAGGUUAUAAAGGCAAACCUCUCAAAAAUGGUGUGAAUGUGAAAACAUGUCUUCACCUUUCUAUAAUGAAAAUAUCAUGUUGAAAAUAGAAAUAGGCAAAUCGACCAAAGAAUGAAGUACGGAGCCCAUGACAAGUGAAGAAUGUAAAAAGGUGAACAUGAUCAAUGAACAUAUCCCAAAACAUCAAGCAUAAAGUGACAACAAACCAAAAGAAUGUGUCAACUUAAGAAAAGAAGACUAUCUGAAGCCCCAGGGAAAAAGUGUGCUAGACUCAACGAGCGACAAGAAGAAACUAAAACCAUAUAGCAAGAGGUGGUCCAACUGAUACUCAAACUCGUACCAAUAUCUAAGCACUCUCGACUGGAGACCAAAAGAUGGAGUAUUGGAUCCAUAUUGUGACUAAAGUGGCCUCGAAGGCUCUCAGAUGCACCCACGUGUAGGAAAGGAAAUCCUAGUAAAAAUAUCUAAGGCUUAACCUACAAGGUCAAGGCGGCUCUAAAAAGAAAAAUUGAGUGGACUUUAAAGGAUUCCUAGCAAAAGCGAUCAUACCCUCCGAUGGUACGCAACCUCCUACACGUCUUGAAAUAUAUGGGAGUGAUUCCAUGCAAGGUGGUCAUCACCUCCACACAUGCACUAUCUCAUAUCCUAGAGGGUUUCCUAAUGAUGAAGACUCUUACAUCUCUCAACACUUAGUGGUAAUCUAAGGUGCACAGUGAAUGGUGUGGGUUCAUCCAAAAAUCCUAUCAAGCUAAGCAAAGAGAAAACACAUUGGUCACACAAAUAUCUUGAAAUAUAGCUCUAACCUAUACAAGUCUUCAAAGAUUGGACUCCAAUUAGCAUUAAUGUUUCGACCUUCUCCAGAAUGCUCCCAAACAUAGAUAUAGUCCAUCACUAAAUCCUACUCCGAAUCACUAGCUCGGUCGAAGAGCAAACAAAGUAAUAAGUCUCAUAUCAAAUAUGAGAUCAAGGGGAACAUGGUCACCCAAGACUAGGGAAUUGAAGUAAGGGGAUAGAUGUGUGUCCCACAUAGAAAAGCAACAUGCAUCACACAGAAGAAGAAUAGUCAUGCAAUAGACAACCAAGCAAAGAACAGGUAUAUCAUUCAUAUCUACACACAAGCUAAACAAGAAAUAGGUAUUUAACAAGAAUAAACAAUAUGUUGAGAUAAACAAGAUAAUAUACAAUAAAGAGAAUCAAUCACACCAAUAUGAAUGAGAUAUACAAAAAUGAGAAUAUACAUGUCAAGGAGAACAAGAUAAUCAUACAACAAGAAGAGUCUUAUGUUAAAGCAAGCAAGAGAAUCAAUCGAUGUAGUCAACAUGUCAAUAUCGCAAAUGAACAUAACAACCAAAUAUGCAUCAUAAAGAAAAAAUGGUAAUCAUGCAGCACACAGUCAUACAAAACAAAUACAAACAAACAUAAGCAAAUAAAUGUAAACACACAUGAUAACAAAAAUCAAUGUAUAGUAAGGCACAUGCAAUAUAUACAUAAAAUAAUCAUCAAGUCAACACUCAUAUACCUUAAAACAUGAAAAUAUACAAUAAAGACACAACGAGAGGGUAUUCACUGAUCGAUUAAUCAAACACUACAUUUCCCUUAACUCAAGUUCAAGUUUGAUCCUUUAAAUAUCCCUAGUGGAGUCGCUAUUUUGUGGACCCACAUUUUUCAAAUGCGUCCUUACACAACAGCGAGACUCAUUUUUUUUAUUUGGUGAAAAUUUGAUUUUGAGAAAAAAGACUUUGAGUUGUCACUUAUUUUUGUUUUUUUUUAAGGGAAAACAAAACAAGAAAGAAAACCUUGUGUGACUCCUUAUUUGGGAAAGACAUGUAUGCAAAAACCAAAUCUGGAUUCGGGGGUCAAGUUACCUAUUGGGAAUGUACGAUGGUGAGCUGUAGCACCUCUCUAAGCUCAUAUACGUACGGUCUCUACUAAACGAAUUAAGAGAAUUGUAGUAAUUAAUUAAUUAGUCAAGGAUACCAAGAAAAAGAAUCGCACAAAUGAGUACAUACAAAUCAUGAUAAAAAAAAUCAAAUUAUAAGAAUAGACAAAAUAAAUAACAAGAGAAUUGUGCAAAGUGAUUUAUUAAACUAAAUAAAAAAGAAGAUAUUAAAAAAAUUAGUUUUCAAGAAAUUUCAAAGGAUUUUAUUAAAAUGAUUUUGAAUUAAUGAUUUUAAUUUAUUUAUUUACAAAAAAAAGUCAAUUUAUUUUCUUCAAUUGAUUUGAUUCAAUUUCAUUUGUAUUCAAUUUUUUUUUUAAAAAAAAAAAGUUAUUUACACUCAUGGUUGUUAAAAGAAUUAUUAACAAAAUUUCAAGUUGACAAUAAAAAUGAUUUUUACUUGCUUUUACUCGAAAACAAUGAAUUUUUACAAUUUUAUUAACAAAAGCAUUUCAAUUUAAGAAAAGUGACUUAAACAAAUUAUUAAAAAAAUAUAACUUUAUCUGCAAAAGAAUUUUUAAUUAAAAAGAAAAAAUUUAAAUCAUCUAUUUCUAAAAAUGACUUUUAAUCCCAUUUUAAUUAAGAAAAUUUGAGUUAUUUAAAAAAACAUUUUUUGGACAAUUUGAAUAAAAAUUAAUUUUUGGGACAACUUUAUUUACAAAAAAAAUUUUGGACAAUUAUUAUUAAAAACAAAAUUUCAAAUUCUAUUAAAAACAAUUUUUUGGAUUUUUCCAAACACAUUUUUAUGAAUUUUUAUUAAUAAAAAACUUUUUUUUAUUAAGAAGAAUAUUUUUUGAGCUAUUAUUUUAUUAAAACAUGUUUAUUGAAUUAUUCUUCUUAUUCAAACAAAAUUUUUAAUUUGUUCAAUAUCUAAUUCUGUACACAACAAGUAAAUAUAUACAAACAAAUAUUUAUAAAAACCAAUAAAAAUAAAACCAAAUAGAAGUGAGAAAUAAAACAUGUUCUUAAACAAGCUUACAACAAGCUCAAUGUCUUCUUACGACUUUUCGAGUCUCACUUUCUUUCAUUAAAUUUUAUGCUCCACGUACCAUAAAUCCGUACUCAACCAAAAAAAUUGCAGAAUUGGCCCAUGCAAAAACAAAAAUAACACAAAUGUAAAUAUCUAAAAAUGAAUAAAGUUCACAAUAGAUAUUCAAGUCCAAAUUCAAAUUUCAAAUUAGUCCAACAAAUUUCGUCAAUCAAAAUAAGUCUAAAUUAGCAAAUAUAGCCCAACAAAAAUAUCUCACAUGUCAUAGGCCUUAAUAUAAAAUUUCCAAAUUAAUAACCAAAAUAUAAGUUCAAUUAAUCAAACCCAAAACAUGAUACAUUAAAAUAAAUCUCAUUAGGCCUAAACUUAAUAUCUCAUAAUUCAAGCCUAAUUUAAUAUAUAAACCUAAAUCCACAAUCAAAAUCAACUCACUUUAUGCUAAUCCCAAUUUAUAAUCAAAAUCAAACAUAAUUUAAUAAGUAAAUAACUAAAUAAAUUAAGCAAACUCAAAACUCUCAAACCACUAUUGCAUAAUAUCAAACAAUAAUAAAUAUAAUGACAACAAUAAUAAUAAUAAAAUAAAAUAAAAAAAUUUAACUCACGUUGGAGCCAGUUUGAGUGUCGUGGGAAAGAAAAAAAAUGAGAGAAAAGUGGGAGAUGAUCGUUAGCUGGUAGUGGCUUGCCGGCGGCGACUGGUCGAUAGUCCUACUGGCGGUAGUGAGGAUUGAUGAGUUUUUGGGAAAGGAAAAAAAAAGAGGAGUAAUAAAAAAAAAAAAAGAGAAAUGAGAGGAAGGUGGGAUAAGAGGGGAGAGAGAGAAUGAAGAAAAUAGGGGAAAAUAAAUGAGGCCGGCCGGAGGAGGAAGUGGUAGUGUGUGUGAGCUAAAGUGAAGAAGAAUGAAAGAAGAAGAAGGAGAAAAAUGGGAAAAAAAUUCGAGCCCUCUAAAUGAAGAAAGGUGAGUAGCUUAAAGAAGAAAAAUAAAAAUAAAAAAAGAAAAAAUGAGGAGAAAAUGAGAGGGCCAGUAGUCUUGGGAAUGGGGUGGUAUAGGUGAGAGAGAGUGGGCGAGGUUGUUGGGGAAGGUAUGGGAGAGAGAGGAGAGAUAAAAGAAAGAGAAAAAAAAACAUAAUAAUAAUAAUAAUCAUAAAUAAUAUAUAAAAUAAUAAAAAUUAAUAUUUAAAUGAUGAGUGUGUCAAAAAUAUUAUAUGUAAUUGGGAUUUAAUUUUAAGAGUAAAAUUGAACUAAAAAUUAAUGUAAAAAUAAAAUUUGAACAAAUUUUAGAAUCUACAAAUACAUUCUUUAAUCUUUCCACAACAUCAAUCUGAUCUAAAUGAAAUGCAAUAAAUUCUAAAAAUGAUACAAUCUUUAAUCAAUCCACAACAUCAACCCGAUCAAAACUCAAUGCAAUAUUGCUUAAUGGAGAGAAUCGUAAAAUCCUUUUAUGAGAGGAAAAAAAAACCCUUAACAGACCUUUAUGAGAGGAAAAUAGGAAAACAUAGAACUAAAAACCCUUAACGUAUUCAUGAGAAUAAAAAAAUCCUUAACACCUUAAUAAGAGGAAAACAAAGAAUUUGAACAAUCCUUAAUCCAUCAAAAGCUCUUAAUAUGAACGAGGGGAAAACAUAACCUUUAUUUUUCAUAUCAUUGAAUACAGAAUCUAAAGAGAUAGAAUUUUUAGUUAUUAAGGAUUUUUUUAUAAAUGUCUAUUGAAAGUUUAAGAACUUUUAUGGAUAAGUGUUAAUUAAGAGACUGAAAGGGUACUUAGGAUUUUCAACUAAAAAAGUUAUAACAAUAUGAAUCGUAAGAACUUAAAAACAUCACCCAUCCAUAAGAGGAAUAUGGAAUGAGAGGUUAUUUUUUUACUUAUACAACAAUAAACUUUUUUGGAAGAGGUUUUUCUAAGUACAAAAAGUUAUGAAUAAAAAACCAUUGUUACGAUGAGUUAACUAAAAUAGAAUUAAUUUAGAAAAUAUCAAUAAAGUUGCAUGAAUUAUUAUCAUGAGUUAACUUAAUAAGAAUAAAUAGUAAUAAAGUUAAUGAAGUGAAUUUGGAUUGGCAGAUAUAUUUGAUGAUAAGAUUUUUUUAAUAAUAAAAAAUUAUUAUGGCAGGAAAAAUAGGACAAAAUUGACCUUAUGAUAAGAUUUUUUUAAUAAUAAAAACAUUAUUAUGGUAUGAAAAAAAGGGACAAAAUUGGCCUUUCCUUAAUUGUACCGGUUAAUGGAAUAAUGGGACAUGCGGUGGUUACAAGCCACCCCAAAAGGUAGGAAGAAUCUCCAACCCCCAUUCUCGGCUCCCUUAUCUUUUCCCUUACAACCAAAAAUCAACAACUAUCUUAGAAUGUCCUUCAGUCCACCAAAAUUCAACAACAACAUUACAAUAAUGAAAACAAAAUUGAUUGAUCACCAGCUAACAUUAGGAGAUUAUAAGAUAAGGAUGUAAUUGCAAUUAUUGAAAUCACUUAAAGAGUAAAAGUUAGGAACAUGCUCACAAUAAAUAAAAUCACCUUAGAAUUAAAAAUUAGGGACAUGAUUAUGAUGAUUAAAAUCACUCGAGAACUAAAAUGUUUUAGAGAUACAAUAAUUGAAAUCAACUGAAAAAUAAAUUCGGGAUGUGAUCGCAAUUAAUGUAUAUAUAAACAACCAAAUGUUGAAAGGAAAAACUAAUGAAAUUAAUAUGAUUUUCUUUUAGAUUUCUCUUGACACCAAACAAAUGUAAGGAAGUUUAUAAAGGAAAAUUAGGUUUUGAUUCACUAAAUUAAAAUAAUAUAGAAAAAAGAUCUUCAAAUUUUAUAUAUCAGUUUUAUUUUUAUUUAUUUAAAAAUAUUUUAAAAUACAUAUAUUUUUUCAUAACUCAAAUAGUCAUUCCUCAAAUGCUAGUUUUACUUGUUAUGUUAAUAACACUAGUUAAUAAUUUUUUAUUGUGAGAACGAUUUAAGAUUAAUAAAAUAAGAAAAUUUUAAAACUAAAAAGACAUUUAAAACUUUAAAAUUAAAAAUAUAAAAAUAAAACAAUAAUUUUUCAUUUAGUAAAACACGCCAGUAGAAAAUAUAGAUAUAGAGAAAGAGUUGGAAAUAAAAUAAGAGUUAAUAUUUUAUUUUUAAAAUUUUAUGUUUUUUAUUUUAAUUGUAUUUAAUUUUAUGUAUUUUAGUUGUAAUUAUAUUUUUAAUUUUUAAAUUUUUUUUUAUUUUAUUGUUGAUGUAAACUAAUAAAUUUUUUGUUCAAUUAUAUAUAUAUAUAUAUAUAUAUAUAUAUAUAUAUAUUUAAAUUAGUGAGUAAAAACCCACUUUUUCUAAUUUAUAAUAUAUUUAUGGGAUUUUAUAAUAUAAGAAAUUUUUUUUUAGAAAGAGGAAAAAUCAACAUUUCAAUUUCCCUUCAUUAUUAUUAUUAUUAUCCAAUUUGGUUGAUUAUGAGAUUAGUUGGUAUCAUUACUAUAUCCAUUUGUCCUUAACCCUUCAUUAGAAUAGUAUUAGGAGUUGAACGUCAGUUGGAAUACAGGCUAUGGAAACAAAUCUAUCCGAUUAGUAGGUUCUUGUUAUUUUCAAUAUAGACCCCAUAAAAUAAAUAGGAGAUAUGAGAUAAGACUGUGACAAAAUUGGCGGUUACUUCCCGACACCUGGCUCUCCACAAACAAACCCAGUGAUCCAGAAAUUAAUUGGUACCUGGACACGUGACUACCAAACGUUCGCUCACCCACCAUACCCAUGGCCUCAUGCCCCAUAUAUUUCCACAAACCUAGCUCAAUUUUCAUAGCCACCUUCACUGUCCUACACUCACUAAGCCAUGGCCAUAGAUACAAGCCUCUUGCUUGAGUUUGCUGCAGCAACUCUACUCUUCUUCAUCACCCGCUUCUUCAUUCGUUCUAUCCUUCCCAAACCUUCCCGGAAGCUCCCCCCUGGCCCCAAAGGGUGGCCGCUCCUCGGCGCUCUUCCUCUCGUAGGUAACAUGCCUCAUGUUGCAUUAGCAAAGAUGGCCAAAAGAUACGGGCCUGUCAUGUUCUUGAAAAUGGGCACUAACAGCAUGGUGGUGGCCUCAACUCCCGAGGCGGCUCGGGCUUUCCUUAAAACGCUAGACAUUAAUUUCUCUAGCCGCCCGCCUAAUGCCGGUGCCACACUCUUGGCCUAUCAUGCCCAAGACAUGGUUUUUGCGGAUUAUGGGGCAAGGUGGAAGCUACUGAGAAAGCUAAGCAACUUACACAUGCUUGGUGGAAGGCUCUUGAGGACUGGUCUCAGGUCCGAGCUGUUGAGCUAGGCCACAUGCUUCGAGCCAUGCUUGAGUUGAGCCAGCGAGCGGAGCCGGUGGUGGUGCCGGAGAUGUUAACUUUUUCCAUGGCCAACAUGAUAGGGCAAGUGAUACUAAGCCGCCGGGUGUUUGAAACAAAAGGGUCGGAGUCAAAUGAGUUCAAGGACAUGGUGGUGGAGCUCAUGACCACUGCUGGGUACUUCAAUAUUGGCGAUUUUAUUCCGUCCAUCGCAUGGCUGGACAUCCAAGGGAUCGAGCGCGGGAUGAAGCAUUUACAUAAGAAGUUCGACAAGUUAUUGACAAGGAUGAUAGAGGAGCACACGGCAUCAGCCCAUGAGCGCAAGGGAAACCCAGAUUUUCUGGACGUAGUCAUGGGCCAUCAAGGAAAUUCUACAGGGGAGAAGCUCACCCUUACCAACAUUAAGGCGCUCCUCCUGGUAUGCAUAGUUAAAGCUUGUCUUUAAUUUUGUUUUCCGAUAUUUUCUUUCCGGAAACAGCACUUUUAUUGCUUUUAUAUCAGGUAGCCAUUUUAGGGGCACAUCACUGUUCUUUAUUUGCAUUUUUUUUUGUCUUUUUUCACUUGCAUGGUUGUUUUCAUAUGCUCAGCUGCAUGGCACAGGAAAAUUGGGAAAAAUGAUUGGUUCUCUGAUCAGACCUUCUGCACCAAAACACACUUCUCUCUAUUUUAUAAAAUCAAGAACAUUUAUGGUUUACAUGAAUUUUCGAACUUGAACUUUUGCUAGGGCUAAUGCAUGGAUCUCAAUUUUCAAUUGCGUUUGAUUACAUAAAUUUCAAGUAUGUCACCACAUUUUUGUUUCCUUGGCUAGAAUUUAUUUACUGCAGGAACAGACACUUCAUCAAGCGUAAUCGAGUGGUCUCUGGCUGAGAUGUUGAAAAACCCGAGCAUCCUCAAGCGUGCUCACGAAGAAAUGGAUCAAGUGAUUGGAAGGAGCCGGCGGCUCGUGGAGUCUGACUUACCAAAACUUCCAUACCUACAAGCCAUAUGCAAGGAAAGCUUCCGGAAGCACCCAUCCACCCCAUUGAACCUUCCUCGUGUCUCAACCCAGGCAUGUGAAGUGAACGGCUACUACAUCCCAAAGAACACUAGACUUAGCGUGAACAUAUGGGCAAUCGGGCGAGACCCUGAUGUCUGGGAAAGCCCGGAAGAAUUCAGGCCAGAAAGGUUUUUAAGUGGAAGAAAUGCAAAAAUUGAUCCUCGUGGAAAUGAUUUUGAGUUGAUCCCGUUUGGGGCUGGACGAAGGAUUUGUGCUGGCACUAGAAUGGGAAUAGUGCUAGUUGAGUACAUUUUGGGGACGUUGGUACACUCAUUUGACUGGAAAAUGCCGGAUGGAGUUGAGAUCAACAUGGACGAAGCUUUCGGGCUUGCUCUGCAGAAGGCAGUUUCUCUUUCGGCUAUGGUGACACCAAGGCUUCACCAGAGUGCGUAUGCAGUCUGAGCUCAAGCUGUUCAGACCAAAACCCAGGCCUAGCUACUAUAUGGCAUGGAUUUGUUUCAGUUUCCUUUGGGUUAGUAUAACGGUAUAAGAUGUAUUAGCUCAAAGAUUGGGAGUUUCAUUCUACCACCAUGCCAUAUGCCUAUCCGUGAUCUAUAAAUUUAGCUUCAGUUUGGUUAUAGUUUCUAUUUUUCUUUUGUCUUCGUAAUCAGUAAAUAAUAGUAACCUUUAUAUAAAAUAUAGUAACUCUUGCAGCUAUUAUACCAUGUACAAUAAAAGUACAGUGGUUUUGGAAAAUACAAUGAAACAGUGAGUUUGAUUUUUUAUUUUUUAUUUUUUAAUAAAAUAAAAUGUUGGAAAAGAGAAGUAAAUAAAGGAAGAUAUAUUAAGAGUCUAUUUGACAUUACUUAUAAUGAAAGUGUUUUUAUUAUAAGUGUUUUCUUUAUUAUAAGUGUUUAAAAAUCACUUUGAUGAGAAUUUAAAAAAAUGAUUCUAAUAGUGUUUUUAAUAAUAUAUUAUAUAAGUAAAAACCACUUUUAAUAAUAAUAAAUUACUAUAAAAAAAAAGACAUUUAUUAUAAAAAGAAAAUAUUAUAAUAAACCAAAAACUUUUAUUAAAAAAAAUAUAUACAAAUAUUUAAUUGUUAAAAAAACUCAAAAAUUAUUUUUAUGAAAAUGAAGUGAAAGAGGAAGAGGAGAGUAAGAAGAAAAAAGAGAGUUAAAAGGAAAUGGAGGAUAGCGAGAAAUUUUAUUUUAGGAAUAUAUAAAAAAAAUUUGAAAUAUUUUUUUAAAGAAACACCUCUCAAGUGCUUUUCUAAAAAAACACUUCAAGUGCUUUUCUAAAAAAACACUUCAAGUGUUUUUUAAAAUUUUCAUAAGUGUUGUUCAAAAUAUUGUCAAACACAUAUUUUUUUUAUCUUAAAAAAGCAUUUAAGUGUUUUUAGGGCUAAAAGCACUUCUAAAAAGCAUUGCCAAACGAGCUCUAAAUAAUUCAUAUUUCCUUGAAUUUAUAUUUUUAUUUUCUCUCUAUGAAUUUUCCUUUAUUUCAAAUACAAAAUAUAUUUUAAAAGGUUAAUUUUAUUUACUUGUCUUAAGGUUUUUGUUAGAUACACUUAAUUAUCAUUUAUUUGAAAUUUCAUUAAUUAUCUUUCUUAUCCUUUCCGUUUCUUAAUUUGUCAUGUACUUGAGAAAGUCAAUUUCAUUAUCAUCUUUACUUCUUGAACCUUGACUUAAAACUCCAACUUCACACAGGAUAUGAUAUAAAUUAAGAAAAGACUUAUUAAAAGUAGUAACGUUCUACUUUAGUUUAAAAAUGUUAACAAAAAUUAGAGGAGAAUUAACUAAAAUAUACUGAAUUUUAAAUCAAGCUAACAUAUUAUAAACCAUUGGAAAACCCACGUGAUUAAAUAGCUUUCUUGUAGUCUGACAAAGGAAAGAAAUUACCUGAAAAGAAUGGCAAAAAUGGAACUGCAUCUUAUGACCUAUAAUCACAUGAUUUCCACACUUAGAGCAUCCAUUGCCAAGAAAGACGUCGAUCAUAUCACCUUAAUUUUGUAAUAAUUCAAUGCCUCUUUUUGUAAAGCCAUAUCAUAAAUAUAAUGAAAUUAAAAGACAAAUUAAUCAAUCAAAUAAUAAAAUUUUGAAAUUUACAUGGUAGUAGGUGAGGGAAUUGUUCAGUUAAGAAUGAAGAGAGACCACACUCGAGGAAAUAUUAUUGAGGGCAUAGAUGUUGACUUUCCAUAUUCACACCUAAUUAAAAAGGUGAUUAAGAAAAUAAACAAAAACAACCCAAAAAGAGUGAAAGAUAUAUUGUUAGGAAAGAUUGUUCAAAAUGAUCCCGAGUUAUAAAAAUGAACUCUUUCAUUAAGAUGACCUUUUUGAAUACUUUUAUCCUUCUUUUUUUUUUUUCUUGCCUUCAAAAUUAUAAAUCUUUCCUUUAUUUAUGUUAUUUUAUUUACUUUAUUAUUUUUCUAAUUUUUCAUUUAUUUCUUCUACUUACUUUUUCUCUUCUAUGAAGUCUUUCAUCUUUAGUUUAGUCAUGUCUUAUGAAGCUAAUUGUAUUUCCCUCCUUAGCUUACUCUCUAAGUUGUUAGUAAUCCUUGAUCUCAUCUCAUAAUGCACUAUCCCACGAUUCUUUCUUGCAGUCCAUUUUUAUUUUCAUUCAAGGUGUUCAUUAAAAGUACACAAGGGCUAAAUUUAAAUUAUAAGAGUUAAUUUCAAUUACAUUCCCUCAAGUUUUGGCUUAGAUACGCCUUACUUCAACUUAUUUGAAAUUUCAUCAAUUAUCUCUUUUAUUUUAAGUGAAAGGGGAGGUGAGUAUAAUUAAUAAAUGAAAAGGUAGGGGAUAUAUUUGAAGAAAUUUCAAAUUAAUGGGCGAAGGUGUAUUUAGCUUAAAUAUCAGGGAAAGCGAAUUAAAUUAAUCUUAUAAAAAACUUAAUUGAGAUUAAAUUCUCGUUAAGUAUCGUUACUUAAUCUAUCAUGAGAUUAAGUUCAAAAUCAUAAUAUAUAGUGAUGAGAUCUCAAACUUCAUAUCUUAACACAGUCAAUUGAACUUAUCUUGAUGAGUUUGAAGUCUCAAAAUUGUUUUGAGAUCCCUAACUAAAAAUAAUUGCUAAGGCCCUUAAUUUUUUUAUUAAAAUGUCUGUGAGCUUGAUUGAGAUCAAUUUGGAUUACUUUUAGAGAUUCUAGAGGAAUUUAGAAGAAUAUAUAAAGGAAAAAACUUAGGGAAGAUGAAAAGUGCUAGUUAGAGCAGCCUUCUAUUGCACCAGAAGAAGUGGGCGCACCCUUCUACUAUGUCAAAAGGACUUGACGCAUCUGUAUAAGUACGCUAGGAAGGAAAAUAAAGCAACAAGCCGGCCUUUGACUUGAGAAUUGGAGAACCCUCUCCCAGACUUAAGUGGCACACCUUUUAAGUGCGCCAAGGAAAAGAAAGAGUUGUGGCUCAACCCCAUCAAGGAUUGAUAGGCAUACUCCGUCCACUAAAGAUUAAAUGUGUUAGCACAUCUCUUAUCUCUCUCCAUGAACAAAUGGUGCAUUUAAUUAUACAUACACUGUAAGCAUUGGGCUGCCUAUCCGAUGGUGCAAUUCAAAAGCUGUGGCAUGUUUGGUCAACGUAUGAGAAGCAUCCUCUUGCAUCCAACAAUCUUGCAUGGGUGGGGCACACCCAACCUAAGUGUUCUCGAAGUUUGGAUGGUGUUGGAGCUGUUCUUUCCAAACUUCCAGCUUCUUCUUGUCUCACGUUCACCUGCAAUGCAAGGUUUACCCGGUGAAGCCCCGGGCAGACCCCUCCGAUGGUUAAGUCUGUUGGAGUGUGAGAAGCCAACUUCUUUUUAAUUUUUCUUCUUAGCUGUGUUCUUAUACAUCUCUUCACUUACCGCCGGGACCGGAGAUAAUGGGGGCAUUUUCACCACAUCACUGCCCACUUCGCCACCUUCUCAUGGCAGCAAGCUUUUUGGGCUAACCGCUCCCACCAUUUUUGGCGGCUAGCCCCUUCAACACCUUUCACAUUACUUACCAUAUUUCUUUCUGGGCCAGAGACUCUGUCUAGUCCUCCAAAUUCACCUCUUAAUUUUAAAUGCUUGGGCCCAGGCCCAUUGGUCCAAAUUCGGCUCUUAAUUUUUAUCCCUUGGAGGAGUGUUUUUAGUUUUUCUUCUUGAAAUACUUUGCAGGUACAAAACUGUAUGAGCUUUUUGUUCAUGGAGUUCUAUGGGAUUCUUCGAAAAUGAAUGAAAUUCAAUUUUAAAAGAAGUCUUUUGUUUCUUUGCUUGAGUAAUUUUUUACCUUAAGUUUAAUUUCCCUCGCAUGUUCUAUCCAUGAAGCACUAAUUCACUUUACUGUUGUGGGUUGAAAGGGGUUGUAUCCCUUGCAACUCAAUUUAGUCCUCAAUGGUUUCAAAGGGUAGCGGAUAGGGAGGUGAAGUUCAUGAUUGCAGCAAAUGCAUGCAUGUUGUAGCAUUCUGAGAGCCCUAAGCUAAGCAACUCCAUGAGCAUGUUUGUACCUUAUAUAUUUAGCUUUCACUUCCCUUUGAGGUUGAAAAUACUAGGUGUUACACGGAAAAACGAAAAUAGGCAAUAAGAAAAUAUGAAUAAUUUAUGUGAAAAAUCCUAAACAAAAAAACUAAGGAUAAAGAAAAUCCACUAAAUUAAAAAUUGGUACAAAAACAGAAAGAAUCCAACGACUAUUGUAUAAUCCUAAAUCCUAUACACUAUCGCAUAUAUAUAUGAGAAAAAAUAAAUAAAGCAGGUCCAUAUCGUAGGGGCAAUCCUCUGCACCCACAACAAAAUCAAUAAUGGGUUAAAGUAUAAUUUUUCUUCACCAUAUAUAUCAUACCACAAAUUUUUCAAGUCAAACCAAAAAACAAUUCAUAUCAUCAAGCUCUAACAUUAAAAAAAGAUGAAAACAAAUCUUUGUAUUAUGGUUAUGGGAGUAACUUUAAACCUUAAAAUUCUCAUUCAAGCUUUUCCAAAUGAAAUAUAUUAAUAUUAAGUUUUAUUUAAAUAAUCUAUUUUUCCGCAGAUAUAACGAUGAGUUGAAAUUUAGACUUAUUUAAUUUGUUUAUGUCAAACAUUCAAAUCUAAAAUACAUAUAACAAAAGAUCAUGGGAAUUUAUAAUAUAAACAAUUUUUAUGCAAAGGGCCAAUUGUAAAUAAUAGAAUACUAUUUUCAAAAGAGAUCCAAAUCAAGUCGUUGUUUUUAAUAAAUAAAUAAAUAAAAUUUUUGUUUCAUUUGGAAGAUGGUGUUAAAGAGCGACUGAAUCAAAUAACUUGCUCAACCGGCAAAGCUGAGCUGGUCAACUUGACUCGCUUAUAUAUAUACGUAAUUGGGGAAAAAAUGUCAGAUGAGGGGGCGGAUUAGGUCACUUGGGGGGUGCCGGGUGUAGAUGGAAGAAAGAAGUACGUAUAUAAUAAUAAUAAUUGGAGGGUUGACGUUGUCUUGAGAGCAACCGAUGAUGAUAACCCAUGCAGUAUUUUUGUCAUGGGAGAAUUAGGGUGGGGGUGGCCGUAAAAAAUAAUGACUAUGAAGCUCACUAUUUUAAAGGAAAGUUUUACUUUUAAAUAUAUUCUUUAUAUUAUUUAUAAAUAAAUUAAGAUUGUCAAUGAUGUGGGUCCAUAUAUGAUGAUAAGUACAAGUUGAUAAAUUAUGUGGGGCUCAUAUAUGAUAAUAAGUACAGGUUGAUAAACAAUCAACGGUACAUUUCUCAGCUUGAAAAAAUUGUUGUCACUUUUGAACAAUUGACGGUUUAAAAAUUUACUAUUUUUUUUUCAAAAAAAAUUAAGAUUUUUUAAAGAACCUUGCAAAAAAAAUAAUUUUUAAUAUCUCAUAAAUAAAAAUCAUAUCCUAAAGUUAUUAUGUCGUUUUAUAUAUAAAACAUACAAUUAAAAACUUUGUUAUCAUAAUAUAAUGAAUAAUUAUUUUUUAAGAGCACUCAUCAAUUGAAUAACAUAUAAAUAUUCAAUUGACUAAUACACACCUAUUAAAUGAAAUAACUCACAAUUAUUCAUGGGGUAAUAUAGCACGUGAAAAAAUUAAAUAAAAAUAAAUUAAAUUAUGUUGUAAUAUAUUGUAAUGAUAGUGUAUUUAUAUUGUAAGUAUAAUGCAUUUAUAUCGUACCUAUAUUUAAUUAAAAAAGUAAUAAUUCUAAAAAUGUUUAUUCAUACCCUAUUGGUAUUAACACAUCGUAUUAAUAUAUUAACAACAUUUAUUUAGUGUCUUGAAAUUAUUUAAUAAUUUUUUUAUAUAUAUAAACUACGUGAAUUCAAAUUAGUAUUUCAUUUGAUUUCAAAAAUUAUUUAUGAUAUAGGUAUGUUGUGAAAUAUGGUAUAAUCAUAUAAAAUUACAAUUUUAAUAAAAAAUUUCAUAAAUUUUUUAAUUAGGUUUUAUUGUAAUGUAAGUGUAUUUAUAUUGUAAUUAUAACAUAUUUUUGUUGUACUUGUAUUUUAUAAUAAAAGUAAUAAUCUUGAGGAUCAUCUUUUAUACCUUAUUAAUAUUCAACAUAUCAAAUAUAUUAACAUUAUUCACUCGAUGCAUUGAGAAAAACAAAUUUAUAUGAAAUUUAUAAAAAAAAAACACUAUGCAAAGGAAAAAAAAUCAUAUAAAUUUUUUAAAAUUAUUUUAUUAUAAAAAUAAAAAAUGAUUAAACAUUCUCUACCAUUUUCUUAUUCUUUUUAGAGAAUUUGAAUGAAAAAUUAAACAUUUUAUCUUCCUUAAAUUUAAUACAAAAAUAUAAUUUAUCAAUUUAAAAUUAUAAUAUAUAUAUAUAUAUAUAUAUAUAUAUAUAUAUAUAUAUAUAUAUAUAUAUAUAUAUAUAUAUAUAUAUAUAUAUAUGAAAAAAUCAUCAUUUUUAUUAUAUAAUUAUAAAACUUAUUUUAAAAAUUAGAAUAAACAUAAAAAAAAAGGUAAAAAAACAAUAAAUGAUAUUUUGAAAAUAAUUUUUAAAAGUAUUUUUGUUUUAAAUAGUAAAUUUAAAUAACAAAUUAUAUAUAAUUGUAAGAGUUAAACCCAAAAUUUUGAUUUAAAAUUUAAAUAUUAUUAAUUACAAUAAAUAUAGGACCCAUAUACCAUAAAUGUAUUGACAAAUCAAGUGAAGUGCUUUAAAUGCUUUGAAUUUUAAAAGUUUUAGCUAAAGGACAAUUUUGGUAUAUUAAGCCUAUUAAAAUCCUUCUCAAGAAUUAUUAAAAUAUAUCACCCUUUCUAAUAAUUGUUCUGCCUAACCUAUUUUUAGGUAAUUCUCCCUUUUUUUCAUUCUCAUCCAUCUUCACGGGACUUCGUCUACCAAAUAUGACAAAUAUUAUAUUGUUAUAUUGAAUAUAUGUACUAAAAAAUAGAAAUGGGAUGAUGCACAUGGCCUGACGUGUACGUUAUUAAUUUGUUUUUGUCUACGUUUGUUUGUUUGUUUUCGUUUUUCUGUUUAUAUACGUAAAGUCAUUUUUUUCCUCUUCAUGGAAUUCUUUUUGAUGAAAAAAUUAGAGGAAAAAACACAGAUUUAACGAUAAAUUAUCCAUGUUCAUGACAAUAAGAAAAAAGAGUUUCACUAUAUAUAAAAUUAGGAUUACAUUAAAAGGUAUUUAUAUUAAUUAAAAAUAUGAUAUUAAUCAUAAUAUUUAUAAUAGACAUAUCAUAUCAAAUAAAUUAUCCAAUUUUUUAUUAUAUUAAUAGAUAAAUUGAAGUUUUUAUGGUAAAUUUAGAUUAUUUGAUAUCACAAAUAUUAUAACGUUUAAAAAUUAAUUUUAAUAACUAAGUUGUGUUUGGUUUAAAAACCAAUUUUUAGUUUUCAUUUUCCAUUUUCAUUUAUGUUUUUUCUUUUCUUAAAAAUAUCUUUGAUUAAGAAAAGUAAAAGUAGUAUUUUAAAAAAGUAAACUUAUAAAAUCUUGUUUGAUUUUAAGCUUUCGUGAAUGUAAAAACUUGUGAAAAAGUAAGCAUUGUUGUUAGUACUCUUAAAUAUUAAUUAAAUAUGACUAAGUGGAUGAUGUCUAUAUCACUUCUCCUGCCAUCGUCACCCAGUGCUCCAGAAAGAAACUGGAAUCUGGACGCGUGAUUAACAACUUCGCUGAUCGCCUACCAUUCCCAUGGCCUCAUGCCUUAUAUAUUUCCACAAACCUAGCUCAAUUUUCAUAUCCACCUUCACUGUCCUAUACUCACAAGCCAUGGCCAUAGAUACAAGCCUCUUGCCUGAGCUUGCUGCAGCAACUCUUCUCUUCUUCAUCACCCGCUUCUUCAUUCGUUCUCUCUUUCCCAAACCUUCCCGGAAGCUCCCUCCUGGCCCCAGAGGGUGGCCGCUCCUCGGCGCUCUUCCUCUUCUAGGUAACAUGCCUCAUGUUGCACUAGCAAAGAUGGCCAAAAGAUACGGACCUGUCAUGUUCUUGAAAAUGGGCACUAACAGCAUGGUGGUGGCCUCAACUCCGGAGGCAGCUCGGGCUUUCCUUAAAACCCUAGACAUUAAUUUCUCGAACCGCCCGCCUAAUGCCGGUGCAACACACUUGGCCUAUGAUGCCCAAGACAUGGUUUUUGCGGAUUAUGGGGCAAGGUGGAAGCUCCUGAGAAAGCUAAGCAACUUACACAUGCUUGGUGGGAAGGCUCUUGAGGACUGGUCUCAGGUUCGAACUGUUGAGCUAGGUCACAUGCUUCGAGCCAUGCUUGAGUUGAGCCAGCGAGAGGAGCCGGUGGUGGUGCCGGAGAUGUUAUCUUUUUCCGUGGCCAACAUGAUAGGGCAAGUGAUACUAAGCCGCCGGGUGUUUGAAACAAAAGGGUCGGAGUCAAAUGAGUUCAAGGACAUGGUGGUGGAGCUCAUGACCACUGCUGGGUACUUCAAUAUUGGCGAUUUUAUUCCGUCCAUCGCAUGGCUGGACAUCCAAGGGAUCGAGCGCGGGAUGAAGCAUUUACAUAAGAAGUUCGACAAGUUAUUGACAAGGAUGAUAGAGGAGCACACGGCAUCAGCCCAUGAGCGCAAGGGAAACCCAGAUUUUCUGGACGUAGUCAUGGGCCAUCAAGGAAAUUCUACAGGGGAGAAGCUCACCCUUACCAACAUUAAGGCGCUCCUCCUGGUAUGCAUAGUUAAAGCUCGUCUUUAAUUUUGUUUUUCGAUAUUUCCUUUCCGGAAACAGCACUUUUAUUGUUUUCCGGAAACAGCCAUUUUAGGGGCACAUCACUGUUCUUUAUUUGGAUUUUUUUUUUGUCUUUUUCCACUUGCAUGGUUGUUUUCAUAUGCUCAGCUGCAUGGCACAGGAAAAUUGGGAAAAAUGAUUGGUUCUCUGAUCAGACCUUCUGCACCAAAACACACUUCUCUCUAUUUUAUAAAAUCAAGAACAUUUAUGGUUUACAUGAUUUUUCGAACUUGAACUUUUGCUAGGGCUAAUGCAUGGAUCUCAAUUUUCAAUUGCGUUUGAUUACAUAAAUUUCAAGUAUGUCACCAUAUUUUUGUUUCCUUGGCUAGAAUUUAUUUACUGCAGGAACAGACACUUCAUCAAGCGUAAUCGAGUGGUCUCUGGCUGAGAUGUUGAAAAACCCGAGCAUCCUCAAGCGUGCUCACGAAGAAAUGGAUCAAGUGAUUGGAAGGAGCCGGCGGCUCGUGGAGUCUGACUUACAAAAACUUCCAUAC
rnacentral:lncRNA from 1 species